AUUAAUUGAUAAUUAGCCAGAGAAGUUAAUUAGAAAAGUUAAUUAGGGUGCAGAAGUUAAUUAUCUAAAAUUAAUUGGGAUAAAUUAGUCAUUAUAUAUGCACAGACCUUAAAGCAGAUCUAAUGGCCAAAAAUAGUUACGAGAACAAUAACUAUUUAAAAUUUAAAAUUUAUAAUUUAUAAUUUAAAUUUAAAAUUUAAAAUUUAAAAAAUUAAAGUUUAAAAUUUUUAAAUUUAAAUUAAAAAUUAAAAAUUUAAAUUUUAAAAUUUUAAAAUUUAAAAGUUGACAAUUUAAAAUUUUAAAUUAAAUUUUUUAAUAUGACGUACUGAAAGGGUUUCAAGAGCUAGAGGGAUAAAAUUGUUAUUUUACAUAAUAUGCAGUAUUACUGACUUUCAGUAAUCCAAGAUACACAUCACCUCUCGUUAAUAUUUUUUGUGUAAUUCUGCAUAAUUUGUAAUGCUAUAUUACCAACCUGAUUAUAUAUCGAAUGAACCAAAUACGAUAAUUCUCACAGGAUUGCAUGUAAUCCUGCCAGGAUAACCCGAACCAAACGCAUCCUAAGAGUAUAGUAGUAGCUGCACUAGAUAUAUAGAGAGAGAGAGUUGGACUAAAAUACUAUUAAUAGUGUUUGCCCAUUUUGAUCAUUUAUAGCCAUUGGAUUAAAUAUUAUAACCCAGUGAGUACCACUCAACUUUAAGAGAAUAAUAUCAUACAAACCCUACAAUUUCUCAUCCAAGGGUUAUAUAGUUAAGCGGAAAUACUAUCGGUAACAAUAUGCUAUGUUGCUAUCUAUUUAUUUUUUAUGACAGAGCCUCUAAAUCGACGAUCUGCACCGUUGAGCAUAAUCUAUAGCAUUUAAAAUAUCUAAAAAUCAGAUUUCACACUUUUUCGAUAUUGCUCUCUUAUCCAUCAAGUGGACACAAAAAUAAACGACUGGAAAUGAAUAUCCUCUAAAAAAUGAUGAUAGGAGUUUUGUAAUCAAGAUCGAACGUAUAGAUCUUGUUCUAAACAAUUUAAAAAAUUUUCUAACAAAAAUUCAAUUAAUUUGGAUAUUGCUAUACUAUUAAACGAGAAAACUCCUUAUAUCGGUAAUUAAAAUUAUAAAUUUUGAAACUCUUUGAUCAAUAGAUCAAUAAUGUCGAAAUAAUUUAAAAUUUGGUUUCUAAAUACUUCAAGUGGCAUAGAUCAUGUUCAAUAGUACCGUUCAUCGAUGUGGAGGUCCCAUCAUCAAAAAUAAAUGGGGGACAAUGAAACCCGUUUGCUACCGAUAGCAUUUCAGCUCGAACCCAAAAUUAUAUAUUUAAUAUCCAAAGUCCGGCCCAAACGUGGUCUAUCGGACUAGGCCAUAUUUAGGCCCGGGCCCAAUUCCACCCCUAGUUUUGAUGGCGAGCGGUGCACGGCCCGGGAUGGCGAGGGUUUUGAAGAAUCCGAAGUUUUAAUGGUGAGCAGUGCGUGGCUCCACGGUGGCUUCUGAUCGCCAGUGGCCGGUCUGGAGGGGGGCGAGGAGGAGAGGAGUAAAGAGGGCUAGGGCAUACUUUGAGCGAGAGUAGAGGCGAGUGUUUUUUGCACGAGUUUUUUUUUUAUCUUUUUAACGGAGCAUGCUUUUUUUUUGGCAAAUAAUACAGAAUUUACGAAUUAUUCGUCAAUAAUAGCUUUAAACUAAAAAAAUAUAAUUUAUUUCGAAUUUUUGAGAAAAAAAAAUAAAUACGAACUGUUUAAUUCAAUUACCAAUAAUUUGCGAAUUAACUAACUAAAUUCUAGCUUCUCUUAUUUUGUUUUUCUUAACUGUGAGAGAAAAACUAAUACAUAUAGCCUAAUAAAUUCCACAUCAGAAUAUCAUGCUUACUUAUCAUAUAAAACUCAUAGUAUGUUUUUAAUAAUUGUAUAUUGGACAAUUACUAAGUAUUCUAUUACUAAAGCAAAAUAUAAAAUUAUUGGCUAUUUUCCAAUUUUGAUCGCCUCUGCAAAUUUCGAUCAUCCCGUAUAUGUGUCCUGCCUUAGUAAGCAUCCAAAUAUAACAUUACCUUUUUAAUUGAGAGAGAGAAUAUACUUUACAUAGAUUUUUCUACUGAUUAACAACAACAAAAUAGAAGUUUUUUUUUUUUUGGUAAAUAUCUAUGGAUCUAUGAAGUUUGAAACCGAAAACUUCCUCACAUUAGUCCAUCACCUAAUAACCAGCCCAAGUGACUCCGGCAUCCACCCUUGCGUUGGCCUCUAUUCAUGUACUCGUAGUACAGCUUAUCCUGGUCCCGGUUCCCAGGCCACUCAGUCUGCCCGGCCGGAUCCACGAGGCCAUCGAUGUACACCAUCCUCGAAUACAGCUUAAUUCCGCGGCCUCCCGAGAUAAAUCCUGGUGCUCAUGGCCUCUCGAGAUAAGUUCUUGUGCUCACAUUGCUUGAACGACUAUCGAACAAUUUCGACUGCCCGGGAUGGGCUUCCGGGCUAUGAUGCUGCAGCGCUGGAAACAACACCGGGUUUCCAAAUAUGAAGUCGAUGGUGCCGUAAAUGUCGCACUCGCGGUAAAACUUGUCAAAUAUAAAAAUGUUUAAAUACCGUUCUUUAACAGUUUAAACUUUUAGAGGACAACGGUUGUUCACAUAGUAUCAGAGCAGGAAGUAAUUCAAACCCAUGUCAUGAUCCGACCAAAAAAUUCCAAGCUCAGAUGUGAAAGAGAGUGUUAAAUAUAAAAAUAUUUAAAUACCGUUUUAUAAAAAUGUGAGAGGGAGUAUAACGAUUGUUUCACAAAACUCCCGUUGACUCAGAGGGCCAGGCCGACGAGGCCGCGUUCACUCGGAGGGCCAUAGCCUGGCCGGCCCUUUGCUGGCCCAGCUGUGUUUCGAGAGCUAAGAAGCCUUGCCCAGAAACUGCUGCGCAAUAGUUGCUAACGUAUUAUAAAGUAUGAAGUUAAUUAUAUGUAAUUUACUUCUAACUGCUAUCAAAACGCGUAGUUAGCAAAAUAGCAAAACGCGUAGCAAAAUAGCAAAACAAGAAACGUUAUAUGUAACUUACUUCUAACUGCUAUCAAAACGCGUAGUUAGCAAAUAGCAAAACAAGAAGCUAUUAAUCUGAGGUUCACGUGACUAAACUAGAUCAGAUAUAUUUCUAUUUAUUUAUUUAACUACAUUAAAGGUGGUUUGUUUAAUUUUUAAUGUAAUAUAUAUAUAUAUAUAUAAAAUUUAAAAUUUUGAUACUUUCAAAUUUUAAAGUUUUAAAUUUAAAAUUUUAUAUUUAAAUUUUAAAUUUUAAUUUUAACUUAUAAUAUUUAUUUUUAAGUUUUAAACAUCCAAAUUUAAAAUUUUAAAUCUCUAAACUCUAUAAAAUUAAUUAAUUAAUUAAUUAUAUUAAUAAUUAAUUAUAUAUAGUAUAAUUAAAAAAAUUUAUUUGUAAGUAUAGUUUUCGUUUUGUCAUGUGGGUGCCAGCACGGUGGGGAGGAAAAAAAAAGUGAAAAUAGUGAAUGGUCACCGCAUUCGUCAAAUUAUUUACGACUUAUAAAAGUGGUAAGUGGUUCAUCACUUUUAAAAAUAGCAUACAAUGACAGAAUGGGAGAGAGAAUGAGAGUAAAAAUUAAUAAAGGUGGUGAACAGACCACUGUCUUUAAAAUAAUUUUUUGAUUUUAAGAUGUGCUAUAAAAGCGAUUAAUGAUUCGUCGCAUUUAAGAGGCCGUUAGGUUGGAUAUAGUUACAAAAAGUGUAAUUGUUGGAAGUAUAUGCUGUUGCAAAUGCUGUAACCAUAAUUACGUCUAAUCUGUUUGGUUUUAUGUAUUUACAACUGUUGCAGUUACAUUUCUUCUGUUUGGUAGGUUGUAAAUUGAGAUUUGAAUUUGUAAAUUCUGUUAAUUUUUAAAUAGAAAGAUGAGAUUAUCUCUUCUGAAUAUAACGUAAUCAUGUUUUAAUUAUUAAUUAAGAAUUUUAUAUCUAUAUAUAAUUUAUAUAUUAUAAAAUUAUAUAUGAAUUUAAUAAAUUUUAAAUGCAAACAUAUUAUAGAUUUCGUCAAGACAAAAAUUAAAAUAUUAUUAAACUAUGAAAAAAAAAUCACACUUUAUUUUUUUUUAAUAGGCGAGUCGAUUCAAGUCCAACAACUGCAGUUGGUUUGGCUGCAGUACCAACUGCAGCAAUUGGGCUUUUUCUUGUAAAUGCAACUGCAAUAGUUGGACCUAAUUAUACCAAACCAAAUAAAAAUUUAAUAGAUGCAUAUAUUUUCAACUGCAGUUGAAAAUGUAUGUAAUAAAACAGCCCCAAAACGCGGUAAUUCAUUUAUUGUUUAUAUUAUUUAUUUUUAAAAAAAUUUAAUAUAGCAUAUUAGAGGUAUAUUUUUAUAAUUACUUUUUUACAAAAAUUAUUUUUGUAAUCCUAAAAAUUGGUAGGAUCAUUUCUAAAAAAAAAAAAUAGUUUAUUUUGCCUUUCCUUUCCAGCUUUGUUACAUUUAUUAAUGUACCUUUAUGUCCUUUCUCUUGAAUGUUUAACAGAUACUUCUGUUGGGUCUUGGUUUCUUUUGGCUUUCAUUUCACUUUUCUUGCUAUCUUGCCUCUCUCUAUAGUUUUGAAAUACAAUUGCCCAUAAUUGUUCAUCUUUUCUUUUUCCUUUUAUUUUAGAUUUUGCUGGAACUUUAUUUACCUGUUUCUCUUAUAUAUAUUUUUUCAGUUUUUUUUUCAGUUAUUAAAAUUUUACUUUAGCUGGAAUUGCCUAUAAAGUUUUAUGCUUUCACUUAUAUGUUUCAAUAAUUACUCUCGUAAUUUUUCAUGUUUUUCAUUUCAUCGAACUUUGUUACGUAAUGCUUCUCAGUUUCUACUACCAUUUGUAAUCGGUUCUGGAUCUUAUCUUAUUUGGCAUCUCUUUUUUUCCCCCUCCCUUUGUGAAACUAUUGCAAGGUAAUUAAUCCCCACAUAUAAUAAAGCUUAAGAUGAAUCACAUGAACCAUUAUAAGGACCCAAAAUUGGCAUGUAAUUACCAGGAUAAUAUAUAUGGUGAAGAAUACACACAAAAAAAAGAAAAACCAAUUUCACAAACCUUCACAGUUAACCAUCUUUUCUAACAUUUGUAGUCAUAAACAUCUUAUACCAUUAAACCUGCUGUGUACUUCACACCAGUAGAGGGUAACCACAAGUUGCCGUCGAUAAACUGCGCCACCGUGAAGUUGACGGCCUGAGCCGAGCUGUUCAUCGCGUGGUAACCUGGCCACUUGACCCGGCCGCCCAAACCUGAGCCUGGUCCAAAGUUCAUGUACUCGCCAUAAAACAACGUGUCGAGCCCGAAUGUUCCAUUCCAUUCGAGCCACCCUUCGGGUCUGAUCACGUUACCGAUGUACGACUGCAUUAUUACCGUUCUCGAGUACUCCUUCCACGGUCGACCCAAGUACGUGUAGGUCUGGUUCGUCGUCGCAUUCGCUAGGAAUGUAGCAGACAAGUCCGAGUCGGCUGACACGUUGCAGAAUUGGAGGGCAAAUCCGGUGUUUUGGUUCGGGUCCUUACGGCCGUGGGCUGUGACGGAGUUCUUCUGAUCCGGGAGGGGUCGACGCACGAAGAUCUGGCAGUUUUGGAAGACGGCAGCAGCAUUGCCGAAGAUGAAGUCGACGGUGCCAGAAAUCCGACAGUCGCGGUAGAAUUGGCGCAGGGAGUGCGCGUAGAGAGUGUCCUGAUAGCCUUCGAAACUGCAACGGUAGAACGCUGAGAGGUCCGAGUCCGACCGCAGCGCCACCGCCUGGUGCUUCGUCGGUCCUGCGGUGUUCUCGAUCGUCAGGUCGCGAGCAAUGAAGCCUUUGCCAGAUACGGCUGCACAUAGCAAAUCAGAAACAAGUAAACAAAACAUUUUAAAUAUUAAAUUUUUAUCCAACUGCAUUAAAUCUGAUCAGUAAUUUUAAAAUUUUAAAUUUACUUUGCGCGUCAAAAUUUUAGUACACCAACCAACAAUUACUUCAAAAGGAAAUGCGUGUGCAUGUGAGGUUGUACAUGUCUGUACAAUCACUGGAUUUUUUUUAUGGCAUUAAAAUCGAUCCCAUCCGUCCAUCAGACAAACAGUGAGGAUGUACAGUGUAUAAAUUAUUAUCUAUUUACACGGUGUUACGGUGCUCCAUAUCGUCGGUGAAUAUAUUAUUAUAUAUUUAGUUGGGAACAAUAUGGACACAAAAAUUAAAAAAUCCAAACCCAAAAAAAAUUAAAAAGAAAGAGAGAAAAAAAAAUCCGGUGAGAAAAGACGAGAUAAUGCGAGUCCCAAGGAAUCCGUAAAGCCACUGUGGUCCCCACGCGUACUGCUAUUUUUGGAUACUUUAAAUUUGACCCAUAGGAUUCACGGGGACCAAGUUUUACCUAUUAAAAUACUUUACAAAAUUACUAUUAUUUAUUUAUUGAUUAAUUUAUUUAUUGAUUUAUUUAUUUUAUAAGUUGUUUUUGAAGGUCUCAUUCCAAAUAUCCCUUCCAUAUAUAGUUAUUAUUAAGUUUUUUUUCUAAGUGUUAAAUUAGUUACUAAAAUGACAAUCAUUAGACUAAAAACAUAGAAUUAUAAUCUUACUAAUGAUUGCUGACUUAAACAGGUCAUUUUGCCAUAUGGCGAAAUGUCAAGAUGGACUGAAUCACGUUCCAAAUAAUGUGAGAUUGGUCAAGUCAAGUCAUAUUUCAAGUGAUAUAAAAUUGGUUGGAUCAAAUUACAAUCGAGAUUCGUAGGUAUUGAAUUGAUUGUCUAUUUUGAGUAGGUCAAGUUUUUAGAAUUAAUGAUUAGCAUCAACUAACAGACAGUGAUGUCUAAUAAUUCUAACCAAAUUACACUAAGUUGAUGUAUAAAUGUAAACUUAGACAAAAUUUUGACUAAUCAAAAUUUUAAUAUAAAAAUGAAAAAAAGUACUGUAAUCAAUGAAUUAUUUAUGAUCAGAAGAAUCUUAGUUGAAAGAGACAGAGAGAGAGAGAGAGAGAGAGAGUGACUGACCGACAGUGGCGCUCCUGAAAGUCGUCCAGCCGUCGAUGAAAUUGCGACUGCCGGUGAUGACCGUCUGCCCCAUGCCAUCGCCCACCAGCAUUAAGUUCCACUUCUUCUUCUUCACGUCCACAUUCUCUCUGUACACCCCCUUCUUCACGUAGAUCACGUACCUCUUCUCGCUCUCCAGCGGCGCCGCCUCCACCGCCGCCGUCACGGUCGUGUAGUUCCCGCUCCCGUCCUGCGCUACCACCGCAUCAGGCGCGAACGCUGAACUAGCAGAUUGGAGAAUUCUCCGCCGCGCCCCCGGUGUCACCCAAUUCGGAAAUCCUUCCACUAGUUUUCGACCGUUGCCGCCGCCGCCGCCACCGCCGGAUGCGGCUGCAGCGAUUUCGGACAAGCCUUCGCCGACGAGGGACGUGAUCAGCUGGAGCCCGCCGGAGACCAGCGAGCCCAGGAUGGAAUCAGUGCCGUCGAAGCCCUCAGUGCAUGUGUCCUGAUCACGCCGCAUUAAAAAAUAUAAAUAUAUAUAUAUUAAAAUACUGUUUUAUGGCAACUUAAACAACGGCCUAGAUAGUAAGUAUUGAGUUAUAUGAAAUAACUAUUUUUUUAAAAAUUUAAAUUAUCAAAAAAUAAUACUUUUAAUAUUUAAUAGAGGUAAGAUAUGAAUUUAAAUUAUAUAAAAAAAUUAAAUAAUACUAAAAAUCUGAUUUUAAGAUCUUCUAUUUUAAUAUCACAUAUAAAAUAAAUAUAAAAUAAUUUAAAAAAAAAAAAAAAGAUUAAGCUAUCACGUACUGCAUUUUUAGUAUUAUUUAAUUUUUUUAUAUAUAUUUAUAUAUAAAGUAUUUUAACACAAGAUUAUCGAUCGAUCGGGUACAGGAGUAUUUAUAUGUAUGUACUAUGUAAGGUGACUCUAUCGUGUCGUCUGACCCAAACCGUGUUUUUUCGUGGUCGUCGAGGUAUUUCGAAGGAUAUAUUUGUGGGUUGAGGGGGAUGGUAGGAGAGGAAUUAAUAUGUAUUGUAAUAUAGUACCGAGGAGGUGGGGGAGAACAACAUUAAUAAGAGGACGAAUGAGAGAAGGAAUAAGAGAGGGGUCGGGAUAGGGAGGGUCGACGAGGGAGAAGAAGAAGAAGGAGGCGGAAGCUUGGCCUUAAGCACGACAGCAGCAGCGACGACAGCUGCGAGGCUAGGUGCCGCCUGCUCUAGCCCUCCCACCGCAGCUACCACAGCAGCAAGAGGCCGUACUAGCCGCCGCCGCUGGAGGCGGAGAGGAGGCGGCAGAGGCUGACGGAGCUGGAGGAGCUGGAGAGGAGGCUGCUCGAGAGGACCUGGUAGAGGCGGAGGGUCUCGUGGUCGUCGUCGUCGUCGUCGUUGUGGUUGUCGCCUCCGCCUCCGCCUCCACCUCCGCCGUGGCCCUUGGCGGCGAGGCUGGAGGCGAGGACCGAGUCGCGGCGGGAGCCGUUGGUCCACGCACGGGUGUUAUUGGCAAUGAGAGAUUUUCGAAUUCGUCGGUAGAGGAUAGGAAUCGCGUUUAUCGCUUUUUGAAUCAUCAACUAUAAGCUCUAAGGUUUAAAGUUAAGAACAACUAAAUAUAAAAGUUGAUUCAAAUAAAAACUUUUUUUUAUCUGCUUCGUCAUCGAUGAGAGAUAAAGUCAAAGCGCCCGUUUUUAUGGAAGGCACGUCAUUGUUUUUUUUCACUAAUUUUUAUAUAUAUUAUUCUAUUUUAAAAAACACUAGGGCGGUUUUUAGCUUUUUGGAAAGAGUAUCACAAUCCAUCAAAAGCGAUAGGUUAUUUGAAAUAAGUUGUAAAAAAACAAUGNCAUAAUCAAAAAUUUGAUUUUUAUAAGGGACCAUUUGAUUAAGAUAUAAUUACAAAUACAGUUAAAAAUGUAGCAGUUAUAAUUAUAUAUAUCUUAUUUGAUUUGAUGUAGUAGAAAGUGUUGUAGCUAUAAAUAAUUUAUUUCGCUGAAUGCAGUUUGAUAAAUAAAUUUUAAAAUUUUAUCAUUGUAUAUAUAUAAUGGUAAGAUUAAUUACUCUAAUAUUGAAAAAAUAUAUUUUUAUUUAAAAAAUAAUUAAGAAUAUAAGUUUAUCUUUAAUUUGCUUAAAGUUACGCUCUCCAAUUGUUGCAGUUGAGCUUCCUUCUGCAGUUUCUACUACAGCAGUUUGAGUUAAAUAUAUCAAAUCAAACAACAAAUUUGCAUUUACAUAUAAUUAUAACUGCAGUACAGUUGUAAUUAUAUGCAACCAAACAGUCUCUAAGAAUUGUGUUAGCAUACAUUAUUUGAUAAUACAUGAGUAAUAUUUAUUAUCAAUAUUUCUAUCAUUAAAUUAUUGUUAUUUCAUCUGCCUCCACUAAAUUUUAGAUAUUUAAUUGCCAACUUUUUGAUAAUGAAUAUUAUUUCAUACCUUAUUCUAUCUUGACUAUUUUUAUAAUUAUCUUAUAUUUCUGUAUUUGGUUUAAUAUAGUAAUAUAAUAGGCAAGUCAUUGCUGAGCUAAGAACGAAGAAUUAGUUGAGUGCAGGAUGGAGAUCUCUCUGAUUGAAAUGAAGUAGUGAGAAAAUAUUUUUGAGAGAAACUAAUCCUCUAAGCUAUUAAUAAUUCUGUAUUGCCGAAAAUACUACAUGUGAAUAAACAAAAUAUAAUAAUUUUAAAAAUUUUCUGCAGUAUAUAACAUAAACAGAGUAUGCCUUAAGAUUCUAAGGUUUUGUGGAAAAGCUUUUCAUACAAUUUUUUCUUUCCAUUUUUAUGUAUUUGUAUUUUAAUUUUUUUUGUGAGAAAAUUAUCAAAUUCUUAAUCAAUUAAGUUCGCUAGGUGUCGUAGGUACUAAUUAUUAUUGAAGGCUUUUAAUAUAUAUAUAUAGAGUGAGGCUACUAUGCUAUCGGAAGCACGGAGCCUUCCGUGCUUCCAACUCGUUUUCGAUGUUGCGACUUUCGAAUCGUCGAUCGGCUCCGUUAAACUUGAUCUAGAGUAUUUGAAGUACCUAGAAAAUAAAUUUUAUUAUUUUUUGAUAUCAUUUGCCUAGUGAUCGAAUGAGCUCAAAAUCAACAAAUUUUAAUGGCCGUAGUGAGCUGUUUGCAAGUUUAACGGUGUAGAAAUAUCCAAAUCACGUGAAAUUUUGAUAGAAAAUUCUUUAUACUAUAUAAAACAAGAUCAAUAUCUUUGAUUUAAAAUUUUAAUUUCAUAAUUAUUACAUUUUGUAAGAUUUUUAUUUUCAGCGUUGAUUUAGCCCCUUCGUUCACUAGGCAAAUGAUAUCGUAAAAUCAUAAAAUUUAUUUUCUAGGUAUUUCAAAAUCUCUAGAUCAAGUUUAACGGAGCCAUUGACGAUUCGAAAGUCGCAACAUCGAAAACGAGCUGGAAGCACGGAAGGUCCGUACUUCCGGAUAGCAUAGUAGCCUCACUAUACUAGAUAUAUAUAUUAUUAUAUAUAUAUAUAUAUAUAUAUUAUAUAAUAUAUAUUAUAUAUAUAUUAUAAUAUAUAUAUGCUUUAUUAGAGAUCAUGGUUUUGGCAUGUUAUAUUUGCAUUAUUAGUUGAUAAUAGUUACCCAAUUAUUAUUUUUUUUAUGAACCUAGCUAUCUAUUUACGCGAACACUCUACAAAAUAAUCAUAUCAUGGAUUUCUCUAUUUAAUUAUGAGGAUUAUUCAUCUGAUCAAAAAUAUUCAAUUUUUUUUUCUAUUUUCCACAUUGAGUUCUAACUAUUUUCUUUUUUAUAUUGAAUCUUUAAUAGCUAUUUGGUUUGUGUGUUUCAAUAGAGUUUUUUCUAUCAAAAUAUAUAUACGUAUUAAUUCAAACAAAUAUUAGAAACUACUUAUUGCCAAAAGGAUCCAAACCUAUUAAUUAAUUCUUUAUUUUUUAUUUUUUUUUUAUUUUUUUCUUUAUUGGAUGAAUGGAAAUUGUUAGCUGUGACGCAGAGAUAUCUUAUUUAUCUUUUUCCCUAAAAUAUACCUUCAAAGAAAGCGACAUUUCAUAUUAAUAUUGUGGUACUUAACAAUUUAUCGAAUUAUAGGCCACAAAAAAGUUUGACACUAAAUGAUGUCUCAAUUAUUUUAUCUUUUAACAUUUUUUAUAAUUUAUUCUUUAGAGAAAAAGAACGUGCUAUUUAUUUUAUUUAUUUUUUAAAAAUUAAACUAAAUUAUGAAAUAAAGUAAUUAGUCUUCAAACUUCGUUAAAUAUUUUACCACUUGCGCUAUGACCAAUCAAUAUAUUUUAAUAUCUUAUUGUAUCUUUUAAUCAAUCUGAUUAGUUGUUGGUGUUGUUCGUCAGUGAAAAUGUUUCCUUAAUUUUUGGCUAAUUAAAAAGCCAGAGAUUGUUUUAAUUGUUCGGCGAAAUCAUAUUCAAGGUAUGGAAAAGUUUAAUUAGUCGCAAGCAAAAUUUUUGUAAACUACUAAUUAAAAUGUUAUGUCACAUUCGAACUAUAGAUUCAAAGUAUGGGUUUAGGAUUUAGGAGUUAAAAUUUAGAAAGGAUUAAUUAAUUACAUUAAUCAUGAGAUACGUACACAUUAUUUAUUAUGAUGUUGUACGAGAGAGGGUUGUGGGAUCUACCCCUUGUGGGAGACAAAAUCACAUGUAAUGUUGCAAAUUUGGUGGCUUGUCACCCUUAUUUAUUUGACCAGUUCAAAUUAGAUUUUGCACAUGAAAUUUUUAGAAUUUAAUUUGAAAAUCUCAAAAAUAACCUCCAUAUGAUUUGUAAUGUUCAAAUUCAAAUCAAUUAAAACAAUGGAUUGCUAUUAUGCAUUCUAUAUUUUGCGUACUGAGUUGUGAAAAAGAGCGUCCAUAUAAAUCGAUAUUGUAUGCUUAUAAAAAAAUAAAAAAUUAAAAAAUAAUUGUUAUUUUUCAAAAGUUUGAGCCGUUCGAAUGAUUCUCUUUCUCACGUCUCAUGCCAAUAUGCGGAAUAAUAAAAUAGGAUAAAAUUAAAUAAAGUUAAAAUCUAAUGGGAUUCAUUGAAAUCUUAUACUAUAUACAAAAAAAAUAAAUUAAACAUUUAUUUGUUCUAAAAUUUUAAACUGUCAAAAAAUAUGUCUAAAUCUUAUAAUCUAGUCUUUGAAAGACUAAAAUUUAAUCACUUGUCUUAUUAUUUUUUUUAAUACUAAAAUUUGAAUGAGAAUUUUAAAUCUUUAAGUUAUUGUGUACAUUGUUUUUCAUUCAAAGGAGCAGGAACUCCAAGCUCCACACAUUCAAAUCAAUAUUUUCAUGCAGUAAUAAAAGACACAUUCAAAUCAAUAUUUUCAUGCGGUAAUGAAAGAGAGAGAAAUGAUGAAGAUUUGCUCAGUAUCUAAUCUAGUUACCGCAAAAAUAGAUAGAAAUUAUUUUAAAAAAAGAAAAAACUUUUAUUUGGGAGAAAAUUUGGCUCGCAGAGGACGGAAAAUCAUAUCAUAAUUAAAACCAAGAUAAAAUUAAGCAACAUUAUAUAUAUAUAGAGAGAGAGAGAGAGAGAGUAAUUAAUGCUACUAUCCUCUUAUGAAUAUAGAAUUCUUCGUACUCGUAAGUUAUUUUUAAUGAUAUAACGAUUUAGAAUAUUUGAACUUCUAAAAAAUAAAUUUCGUAAUUUUUUGAAAUCAUAAUGAAAUCCAUCAAUUGGGCAUAAAAUGAACGGUCAAAAUUGAAUGACGUUCUAAAAUAAAUGAUCGGAUCCUUCAAUUUAAGAUCGGAGUUAUUUAUCAUUAUCUAGGUAAUGAAUAAAAUUUUUUAUAAAAAAUUCAACUAAUUCCGAUUCUUUUGUACUGUUAAACUAAUAAGUAUUUCAUACCGGCCGUUAAAAAUUGUCAAUUUUGAAGUAUUUUGAUCGCAAGAUAAAUAAUAUCAAAAACUAUAAAAUUUAAUUUUUAAAAAUUUUAAAUGCUCUAGAUAACAUUUAGGGCCCGUUUGGUUCGAGUUAUGUAAUAUUAUAAAGUAUCUCGACAUAUCCAGGUAUCUUGGAUUUCGGCGUGAGAUUACUACUGAUGCUGCAUUAGAGUGUUUGGUUUAAUACAGUAAUGUAAUACUAGAUUAUAGUGUUUAUAGUAUUAAUAUGUUUGGUUUAGUUUAUAAAAUUUAGAAAUCCUGACAUAAAAGUAUAGUUUUUUUCAAAAUUGCCCUUGUUGUGGUCAUUUGAAUAUUAUUUUUUGCGAAAAUGACGAAUGGAGGGAAGGAGAUCGUGAUGAUUACUUGGGAGGACGACGCAAUAGAAGAUGAUAGGUGUACGUGCGCGCGCGCGAGAGAGAGAGAGAGAGAGAGAGAGAGACGUCGAGAGAGAGAGAGAGCGAGAGAAAGCGGCGUGCAAGAGAGAGGGCCGGGGGGAAGGCGAGAGAGAUGAAAAUAAUGCUGUUAAUUAGAUUUGGGGUUGUUGGAGGGUAAAAUUGUCAUUUUACAUAAUAGGUAGUAUUAACGGAUUUCAGUAAUGCAAGAUACACGAUCCCCCUCUCGUUAAUAUUUUCGAUGUAAUCCUACUCGAUUUGUAAUGCUAUAUUAACGACUAGAUUAUAUAGCGGAUUAACCAAACACAGUUAUCCUGGCAGGAUUGCCUGUAAUCCUGCUAGGAUAACUCCAACCAAACGCAUCCUUAACGAUAUGGAUCGUUAAUUUCGAAGCUCUAUUAUUGAAAACAACUUAUGAGUAGGAAAGCGAUCGUACUCGUAAAGUAUAGUAUAGCGGGACUCUCUCUCUCUCUAUAUAUAUAUAUAUGUUACGAAAAUUCAAAUAUGUUACGUACCCUUACGAGCCGUAAUAUAAUGAUACGUUAACUAACAUACUAUUCCCAUGUAUUGUUGAUUUAUUUAUACAAUAGAGGGGCACCCAAAGCAUGACCCUUGUUUAAACAGAUAAUACUAUAAUUAGCAUAUUUAUUCAAGGAAAUGGUUACUUUUACUCAAAAAAAUUGUAUAAAUAAUAAUUAAAUAAAUAUAUGUAAAUAUAUCAUGGAACGCGUAAUGCAUGCACUUUUAAGCUGGACCGUGUGGGGCCAUUUAAUUUGUGGUAGGGGUUUUGGCUUUUACUUCAUUAAAUUGUGAUCAUGUGUCUCUUUGUAUCAUACCAUAAAGUUAGGGUUGGGAAUGGUGUGACAAUGAACCAUUUUUUUGCCCACCAUGCAUGGCUUUGCCCUAGCUUAGCAAAUGAAGAUUUUUUCUAGUAAUGGACACACACUUUGCUUUCUUGAGGACCUUCCCCAUGUGAUGAGAGGGGCUUUCCACUUGUCGCACUGCUUUUGCUUUCAGCAAUAAUUUUUAUUAGAACUGAGAUUAAGUAUAUCUAAAAGUGUAACGCUUUUGCUGCAUGAGAAACUAAAGUGAGACAGUUUAAAUGGCAGAAACUUCGAUUUAGUGGUCGGUUGUGGUUCAAUUAUUUAGAACGGUUGUUAAAAAGAUUUUAAUAUAGUGGUUUCACAGCUAGGAUAGUUCUUUUUCAAACGAUAUUGUUUAGUGAUGAGAGAAAAACUCGACAUAUUUACCAACGUCGCAACUGCAUAAGAAGUGAUAGCUAUUAUAGAAAUUUAUGGAUUAUAACUUCGAUUUUGUUUCUUCUUUUCAUCUUUUGAAUCUUUUUUAAGAUUAUAUGUAAAAUAUAUGACUAAAAUAGAUAUAUAAUUAGGGAUUUCAAUUGAAGAGAGCGAGAGAUGCCUAUUAACUAUUUUAUUAAGGGAUUUAAUUGACAAAAUUGAAAGUUUAGGCUAAACAAUUGGGGGAAUUCUAUACAUCUUUUCCUUAUUUUAAGAGACGGUUGUCAAAGUUUAUGCAAUGAAAGCUUAUUCUAAAUAGCAGAAACUACAAUAUAAUUAAUACAUCUGAAAAUUUAGAAAGUGAAGUAUGAGAAAGGCGUAGGCUAAUUGAGUCAUAGUAUAGUAUACCGUUGAUAUUUAGAACAGUUCACUGGUAACCUCAUCUUUAGAUGUUAAGUAUUGAGGUUUCAUUCUGUUAUAUGCGAAAAGAGUGCAUGCGUGUACCCUUCGAAAAGAGGUCAAGUAUAAUACAUUUGAAAAUUCAGAAAGUAAAGUACGAGAAACAUAUAGGAUAUAUAAUUAAGUCACUGUAUCGAAUAUCAUCGAUAUUUAGAGCAGUUUACCGACAGCCUUCUCUUUAGAUAUAUAUUAGGUCUCGAGUUUUUAUUCUGUUACGUGUGAAAAGAGUGUGAGUAUGUGCACCUCGAAAAGGAGGUCAAAUGCCUUGAACUGGAAAGUGAGAAUAGCUAUUCUCUCUUGCCCACUAUUCCACAUUUCUAAUUCUAUGCUUAUCUUCUACUCUGCUCCAUAUAUAGAGAAUAACUUAUUCUUAUGCAAGAUCUCAUUUUAGUAAGAAACAAAACAAAUUAAACCCAGGAGAUCGAAUCACGUACAUUGUCCCACACAAUCAAUGAGGCUAAUUAAUUUGUUGUAACUUGAUGCUCGAACUUUUAAAAUUAUUGUAAUUAAGUUCUGCAGUCUAAUUUAAUUGACUAGAUAUUAAUAUAUUAUUAAUACAAUAGUAAUGUAAUAUCUUAAUUAUUAUAACAUCGUCAACUAUAUAUAGCGUUACUUCCUCAGAACAAAAGCGUCACGUUCCUCAUAGUGUGAGAACCAAAAAUAUAAUUUAGCCAAAUUAAUGAUGAUGAUUAAUAUUUAACACUCUACCUUGAGAUAUAUCCCUAUUAACUCGCCAUUAAUUGCUUAUGUUCCUUCAUUAUUAUUAUUAUUAUUAUUACUUAAAGAAUAAAACUCCAACACCUCACCUUAUCCAUGAACGCGUGGAAUAAAUCUCCCUUGUUCAUUUUUUUUUUGGUUUUUAACACCUUGCAUUAAAUUCCUCACAGCUUGAUCUGUCUCCCCAACCAACCAUCUUAAAUGGCUCGAACCCAAGCUCGUGGUAGGGUCACAUCAACACGAUUUAUUUUUUUUUGAAACAAUAGAAUAAUUUGUUUCUCUUAUUAAAUGAUAUUUUGUCCAUUGGGAUUAUACUUGAAUCUAAUUUUGGAUUGAGCCAAGUGGGAGUUGUUGUUCCCUUUAUUGAUGUGUCUAGUUGAUUUGAUAGUACACUUGAGAUUUCAUAAAGGGGGAGAGAUUUGCUUCAUAAUUGCGUGAUUUAUAGAAGACUUAAUUAAUUCUCACCAACAUUAGAUAUAGUAGUUAAUUUGAUCAGAUGCUAUUUAAGAGCAAAAGAAAAAUGAAAAAGAUAUUGACAUAUAUAUAUUUUUAAUUGAAAUUAAUCAAAUUUACAAAUUAGAAACUCAUUGAAGUGGUGAAAUGCCCUAGUUAGUAAAUUCACGAAUUAUUCUCGAAUUAUUGAAAAUUCAAAUUAAACGGUCCGUUUACGAAUUUUUUCGAAAGAAAGAGAAUUAUUCACGAAUUUUUGGGCCAGCCGAAUUAUUCGCGAAUUAUUGCGAAAUUUUUAAAAAUAUGAAUAAAAAACUUAUAAUUUUAUUUUUAAAUAUAAAUUAUUUUAUAUUUUAUAUCUUAUAUUUUAUAUUUUAUACCAAAUUCAUUUUUUAAGUCGAAUUUUUCAACAAAUUUAAAAAUUAGAAAAUAAAUUUUAUACGUAUUAUAUCUGUACCGAAUUUUUGCCGAAUUCGAAUUAACUAACUAUUAUGUUUUACCUUGUGAAUUGUGAAAAGCAUUUUGAGCCAUAAAUGAGCCUCAAAAGAACACCCUUUUAGGGCACUCUUUCAUCUGAAUUAAUAAUUAAUUUGAGUGGGAAUCCAUGCAUGCACUAUCAUUGUAUUGAUAAAUUACGUCGCUCGAGGAAUGAGAUGCUUUUCACGAAAUUUGAUGCUCAAUCCUUUUGAGAGAGGAAUUAAUAUUAAUAGGAUUUUCUUUUCUUUUUUUUUUUUUUUUGUAUAUUGUUGAUGACUCAGCAAUUCUAUUCAUCAGAAUUUGAUAAAAUCUUUCGGGUAUCCAAAGUAUUAUUACAAAAAGUGAAAACGGUGGCUUUAUUUUGUUGAUACGUGAAAAUAAACAACCGUUAAAAUAUCUGAUCGGCAUUCAGUGACGGGCUUUAAAAGGUUCCGUGAUCAAACUCAAAACCUUUUACUGUACUUAGGCUAUAGCAUCGUUUGAGAUUGUGAGAAGAUUAGAUUACAAGUGGUGAGAAAAUUCGAUAACAAAAUACUCUGCUGUUCUUGUACACAAUACCGUGUUCUGCAUAUUGCAGUGAGUCAGUUAAAAUAUAAUUUUACUAUCCCACCGUAGAAUAUAGAAGCAUAUUUUUAUAUAUUUUUGCGUUAACUUUAUUUUAUCUAGUGUUAGAUGAACCUUAAUACCGAACGGGCCCUUAAUCCAGGAUUUGGAAUCAGUUUUCUGAUGGGCCAUUGGACUUGUUUUAAAACAAAUUUCAGAUGUUUUGGAUAUGAGUGGCCCGUUUGGGCCCAUUAGGCUUGGCCCAUUCACAUAAUUGUUGAGCAAAUAUGGGUGGUUUCAAAUUAACUAAAACGUUAGGGGCUUAUGUGAAAACUUGGUAGGUCUAGAAUGUCGUACGGUAUAUACACUUGUACCUGUAACUCGCUGUACGCUGUGCGUCGGAAGACUCUGGAUCCUUCCAUCAAAUCCAUCUAAGGCGCUCGAUCUACCGUCCGAUCGUAAAUGGACGGUCACGAACGCGUCAAUAUUGUCACAUAGCACCACCCCUUCCUCCUCCCCUUCACAAUUAACAACUCUCUCUCUCUCUCUCUCUCUCUCGUCUUUCUCGCUCUUCACCCACCCCCCCAAAUCCCGAGAAGCGUCCGAUCCCGAUCGCUCCUCCGCCCUCGGAUCGAUCACCGCCGUCCAAGGCCCCUCCUCGUCGGAGAUCGGCGACAGGUUCCCCCUCUAUUUGCGAUCUCGAUUCGUUGUUAGCGUUAUCAUCUGAAUCCAUGUGAGGACAAUUUCUUGAAUCGGCUUUGCCCUAGAUUCUUAUACCUCUCGUUCGUUUCAUUUUCUCUUUUGAAUCGCAUGUGUAAUGCGUAAACUUUGGAAAAAUUGUAUUUAGAGUGGGAAUUGUGUGCUUCUGUUAGGGUUUCUUCAAGCAAUUUGUGUUCUUUUUGAUUACUACGAAGGAUAUACUCUUAAAACUCUGCGAAUUUGGGUCUAAAUGAGGUUCGAUGUUUAAAAUUUAGUCUAUUUUGCAGAAAAAUUGAGAUCAAAUAGGGGUUUUGAGGGGUUACUUGGAGGGUUAAAGUUGUGGCUUUUGUUCACGGGACCGGAUAUUGUCAAUGGCGGAGAGGGGUUGUGUUAAGCGCCUUCAAAGGGAGUAUCAUGCCCUAUGUAAGGUAUGAUCAACUCUUUUUCCAUGCGAUUACUUUUGAUUAUUUUAAGGCUUUACAGUUUUAUUUUGCAAACCCUAGAUGGAAUCUCGACCAAUGACCAUAACGUGGGUCGGACUCUCUGAACUCUGUGGAAAGCAGGGUUUUACAAGCUUUACUUUUAUAAAUUUAUGCACUUCUGCUUGUUUUAGUUGCAAUUCACCACCUUUUUGAUAGGGAUCGGUAAUUUUUUAGUUAUAGCCUUCCGUUUUGGCGUAAGGUUGUGCUUUUCUUUUGCGAAAUGUUCAUGGAAUUUGACAAACGAACCCUAACGUGCAUCACACUUUCUGAAAUUUGCGGAAAACUGAAUUGUACAAGUUUUAUGCUUAUAAGUUUUUGCACUCAUGCCUUGUUUUAGUAGUAGUGCAGUACCUUUUGAUGAGGUGCUAUGCUUUAUGCUUCUAUUUGAAUAAUGUUACUUCAUCAUUUGCAAUAUUUGCAGGAGCCGCCACCUCAAAUUGUUGCUCGUCCUUCUCCUAGUGAUAUUCUUGAUUGGCGUACGUAUGCUCUUUCAUGAUUCCCCAUAUGCUUUCCAUCAUUGUUCUUGCCAUUCAGAUAUGUAUUUGUAGUUUUGAAAUUAUAUACACAUCAAGAUUCAAGUAUCCUUAUUUGAGAUUUUAGAGGUUCGAGUUCUAAGAUUGCUUGUGUAAAGUUUGAUAUGACGGUUGGUUGUAAGCUUGGUAUUGCAAAUAUUUUUUUUUGUGUGAAACUCAGUAUAGUUUUACCUGUGCUUUUAUUCUUAGAAGCCUUCAGACAGAAAUACUGCUUAGAUAUUCUUGUCACCUUUCAAAUUGGUGCAUCUUGAGCUGUUCUUUAAUUUUAAGUGGAACUCAUUAUUCCUUCUUCUCUCUCUCUCUCUCAGAUUUUGUUCUUGAAGGAAGUGAGGGCACACCAUUUGCAGGUAAAAUAGGGAACAUAUGUCAAGUCCAAGGUCUAAAUCAUUGGUUUCAAUUUUUUCUCCACAUUGAUGCUUCCUUUCGACAAAUUUGUGAACUCUCGAUUUGGUUUAACCUGUUGACGAGAAGAGUCUUAAGGUUUUCUUCAAAGGAAAUCACAUUUUCAACCUAAUUAUUGUAUUUGAUUGAAAAGGAUGCUUUUUGGUCAAAAUUUAUGGAAACCGGCUGAAAGUGGGCAAAGAUGGCUCAAACCGUGAAUUUCGAAAUGCUAAAUGUCCCAAAAUUUUACAUUAGUUUUGCUUGGAACUAUCAAAUUUCAGCUGAAACUUAAAUCCUUUUAGUAUAUUGCAGUAAAUGGUUGUGAAUUUUCAGAUUAUUGCCAUUUUUCUUACUUGGUGUUAUGUGUUAUUUAUUGGUGUCCUCGCGGUAGCUUUUUUUAAUUAAAUUUGUUGUUAGCAGAAAUACAUACUUUCAUUUUGCUUUGUUUUGAAAGUUCACAUGCUUGACUGUAUAUAUAUGUAUUUUUUGUUGAUUGGCAAUGAAGGUGGGUAUUACUAUGGAAAACUUAAAUUUCCACCCGAUUAUCCAUUCAAACCUCCCAGUAUCAGGUAAUAUUCCGUACACCUGUUUUAUUGUAAAUAAUGUUAUUUUAAGUUCUUCCACUUUUCUAAUAUAAUUUUUCUUGGCAUUUCUCUCUGGGUUAGUAUGAUUACUCCCAAUGGACGAUUUGCCCCUCACAAGAAAAUAUGUUUAUCAAUGAGUGAUUGUAAGUAUGAACAGUAUUGCAUGUUUGUUAAUCUGGUGUGUUAUGGAACUUGUAGACCUAAUUUUGUUUCUCCUUUCAUUCAGUUCAUCCGGAGUCUUGGAAUCCAAUGUGGUCUGUAUCAAGGUAAGAGUAACUAAUGAAGUUUGUGUAUAUGUAUCUCGAUAUGUGUAAAGUUUUGCUUUUUACAAUCACAAAUAUCUUGUCUCAUGAUUCUGACUUCUAUUUGUUGAUGCAGCAUUCUCACGGGACUUCUGUCCUUCAUGGUGAGUUUCUUUUCUCAUCACCUCUGUUGGCUUUAACCAGACCAACAUCUUUAAAGCAUGGGUACAUGUAUAUUAUACCUUUCCAUCUUGAUUUAUUAUGUAUUGGUAAGAGUGUGUUAUCUUUGGCCGGGAUGUAAAACUUGUGUCAUUUUAUUCCUACCUUUAUCCUUUCAUUCUGUUUGCAGCAUCUGAAAUGAUAAUAGUUACGAUUUUUCAGCUACUUACAUUUAGAGCCCUGAUUUGUAUAAAGGCUGCUGUGACAUGCACCGUAGCUCCAAAAAGUUGGGAGUUGGAACAGAUCUUAGAGGAGUUCUAAGCAGAGGUUCUUGUACAGAGUUUUUCAUUCAAGUCUGAGAUGUUUGGUUAGAACGUUUCCGUGGUUUGAGAAAUCUAUUGUGGUUCUGUUGGCAGAGUUAAGGACUGAAAGACUUGGGACAUAAUUUUUUGAAUUCUUUGUCAAGACAAUCAUUACUCCCUGAAAGAAACCCUGGAUUGAAUUGAAGUGUCUUCAAGUCUAGCAUCAUAGAACCACAGCCAAUGCUUUUUAUUGAAAAUCUGUUUCUUUCAGUACUAUUAAUACAGAUGAAAUAUGAAGAACCUGCUCUCUAUCUUUCUCUGUAUCAAAUUAUUGAUUUCCUGACUUUUCAUUCUGAUGCUUGUGCAUAUAGAUGGAUGAUGGUCAGACCACUGGUAGCAUUAGGACAUCAGAUGAUGAGAAGCGGCGAUUAGCUAAGGAUUCACUUGCUUACAACUGUGAGAGGUAAAUUCUUUCAUCUUAAUAUUUAUUUGUUCCAUGAUGUGUCUUGAUACUUUCAUAGCUCUCUAUGGCUUUUCUUCCUAUUAUUACCUAAACAUGUAAUGUACAUGUUUCUGAGAGGUCAAUUUCAUUUAAUGCUGUCUCCUUGCAUAUUCAUGCUAAUAUAUGCACCAUGACAUGCCUUGAUAUUUGUACUUCUGUACAAGUUUUCCUUCAGGUAAUUGUCACGCACUAAAUAAUAAGUAUAAGAAGAAUAUUUCAUUUUAAUAUGCGUGAGAUUGUAGGUCUUUAGAAAGGCAAUCACAUUUUUAAUGCUGUAUCUUGCUUUAUUAAACCAUCAUAAUUAUGCUACUUGCAGAAUAUUAUAGUGGCUAGGAGAAAUUUGAGGUUUGUUUAUUCUCUUUGAUGGGUGUUAUUCUACCCCAUAGGUAGCACUUUCUCGCAUGCAAUCAAUUUAGUUUUGUUUCAUUUUCAAACAUUUUCAGUAUUUGAUUGAACUAAAAGUAAAGUGGCAAAAAGGCAAAAAUUGUUGAUUUCAGCUGAGGAUGAAAUAAUAUUCGGUGAGAUAAAAUCGUAAUCUGGGUGAUGCUAUUCGAAUAAAAUUGCAGUUUAGCCAUGGCAUAAAGGGUGCCUUGCCUUUCUUUCUUGGCCUAAGUUACUCUGUAUUAAAGGAAAUAUAAGUUGGUAACGAACACCCCCUGUCGGAAGAAGUGAGUCAAUGAAUCUUCCUUAAUGAAUCUUCCUUUCUUUACACAAUAGGUGAAGUGCAUAUGAUGAUGCAUUAAGCUUGGUUGAGUUAUGUAUUUUUAAGCGUCCAAUUCAACCUAUAAAUUGUGGAUAAUUGAUUGAUUGCAAUGUAUCAUCCGAUGCAUCACAUUCUGUGUAAUAUCUCUCUAUCAUAGAAGCGCCUAGCAGACUGACGUUUCUAUGUGCCAUAACUUAUCUUGCAACUAAAAUGUUAACGUAACCUUUCACCUGUCGGAAUCAACAGCAAAAACUGCCCGAACUUCAAGAAGCUGUUCCCGGAAUACGUAGAGAAGUACAGAGAACAACAGGUGCCAGAUCACCAUCCCAUGCCACCGCCGGUGCUUCCGGAGAAUGCGGCACCCCCUCCUCCCCCCGCAGUCGUGCGAGCUCCGGUGGUUGCGGACGAAGAUAGGCGAGUACUAAACAACAAUAACGCUGGCAAGAGGAGGCAGAAAACGCAAGUGCCCUUUUGGCUUCUGCUUCUGUUGAUAUCGGUGUUCGGCGUGGUAAUGGCCUUGCCCCUGCUGCAACUCUGAUAAUGCCCUCUGCCCUCCGCCCUCCGGAUAGUAAUAUCUUAACGGCGGGGAGAACGUUUUUCAGUACAAAAUUACGGAUCCCUAGAUUUGUCUACCUGCAGAAUUUUGUAUAGUUAGUUCGUUCUGGAGUGGUCGAACCUUGUGCUCGCCUUCGUUGGGUUUGUAUCUCAUCUUGACGAACUCAGAUGAAAUAUGUCAACCGCCUUCCUUAAUCUUUCGUCUCUCCGAUUAGCUGCAUGAUGGAACUGCUUUUUUGUCGACUUUUCUUCGAGUAUCGUUACUAGUGCCUUCAUAUUGAGUUGUCAAGAUCUAUCAACUACCUCAUUAAGAAUGCUGUAAUUCAAAUUUGUUCAGAUUGGGUAAUUAUGAAUUGCGGAGUGCGAAGCCCUUGCAGUUAUUCACGGUGAACGCAAACAUUUGAAUUGUGUGUGGCGUGUUAUCAGGGAAUCCGUAAAUAAAAAUUUGGACCUGCAAUGUUGAGGUAUCUCCACAAACACAUCCUGGGCAUAAGAACUUAAAAAGUUGCAGCGCGAUAAAUGGCGGAUCGAUCGGCGUUACGAAGGAGACCGACCAUUUUCAUCAAAUUUUUAUCAAAAUUAAAUUUUGUGUGGUAAACAGUGAUAGAUCAUCCAUUACGGAAUAAAUUUAAAACAAAUUAUGCGCAAUAAUACAAGCUUAUAAUAGGAAGCCAAAAGAAGGAAAUAAAUAAAAGAAAACCUAGCUGUACAAUUUUGCAUCGACUGCUGCUACUACUGCUACAUCUCUCGCAGUCGAUUCCUCCUCUUUUUGAAUCAAAAUAAUCGACCAAAAAAACCAAAAAAAAAUUUCAAAAAAAAAAAAAAAUGAAAAUAAAAGAAAAUAAAAAAUUCUGGCGAUCGGCGAGCAACCAAUCCGUCUCAGAACCCCCUCAUCAACAUGCACAUACUAAUAGUAAUAUUAUUAUGUUUUUCCGGAAUAAAAAUCCCAUCUUUUUCCCCCGAACCUCUCCCUUCCUCCUCCCCGGAAACCCUAAUCCUAACCCUAACCCUAGCUCGUCGGCGUCCUCGGCGUCCUCGGCGUGGCCGCUCCUCCGACGGUACCCUGCUCGAUGUCGCCCCCUCUAGGGCUACACGACGACCCCAUCGCCUGUUUCCCACGGCUCAGCAGCCUCCUCAGCGACCUCAGCCUCGCCGAGCUCGGCGGCGGCGGCGGCGGCGACUUCAUCUCCUCCGCCGACAUCCGGCUCACGGGCAAUGGCGAGAUCGGCGAGGGCGGCCCCCCCAUGGCGCGCCUCGGGAUCUCGAUCACGAGCUCCCUAGUCCUCGACGACGAGGGCUCGGACGAGCUCGGCGAGUUCCCCGCGUUGAUCCGAUCCUGCGUGCCCCAGAAGAGCACGUUGGUGGGGAAAAUCGGCGGCUCCGCGGGCUCCGGCGCCGGGGCUCGGGCGGAUUCGGCGCCGGCCUCGGCGGGGCUCGGCGAGGACUCGNUUGGGCAGGAGCCGCGCCUCCUCCCCCUCCGCCACCUCGCACAGGCACACGGCGCACUCCAGCGCCUCCUCCUCCUCCUUCCCCGCCCCCGCGCCUCCGCCCCCGCGGCGCCCGACGACGACGACCGGGAGCGCGGCGAGGGCGGCGGGGUCGAGGCCGCGGCGCGCGGGCGCGCCCCCCCCGAGGUCGGCUGCGAAGACGAGGCGCGUCCCGGAGCGGCCGCGGCGGAGGGGGUUGGGGCCGAGGUAGCGCCUCGCGUAGAGGUAGAGGAAGAAGACGAACACCACGACCAUGAACAGGAACACGAUCGCCGCCACCAGGAUCUCGCUGCUUAUCGUCACCGCCGGGGACGGCUCUCCCGCCAUCUCCGGCACCGUCGGCACCGUCGGCAUCGUCGGCACCGUCCUCAUCGUCGGCAUCGUCGGCAUCGUCGGCCGCGGGAUUACCAUCGCCUGCCGCGACAUCGCCGGUGCUUCGCUCAAGCCAAAAAAGGUGCGAUUUUUACCGACCCCUUCCCCUUCAAAAUUGGAUUUUUGUGAUCGAUCUCACUCAAAAGGCUCGUAAAAAAUUUGGAUUUUGAGACGUUGGUUACUCGAAAGAUUGGAUUUUUGGGUGCGGGUCUCUCACCAAAUCGAUCGAUCUAUCACAAUUUGUCGAGAUCUCGUAUUGCAUACCUCGAAUUAUGCUGCAAAAAAGCUUCGUGUUUUUACGCAAUGGAGAGAGAGAGAGAGAGAGAGAGAGAGAGAGAGAGUACCCCUCGCUCUUUUAGUUGGGGAAUUUUAUAGCCUAAAAAGAAGGGGAUUUUAGAGAGAGAGGGAGAGAGAGAGAGAGAGAGAGAGAGAGAGUUAGAGGGAGCAGGAGAGAGGAAGGUGAGCAAACCAAACUGAGAGAGUGACGUUGAUAAUGAUCGGAUGGGAGUGAUCAAAUGCGUCAACAAAGAUGACUUUUUUUGGGUUUGGUUUUGUUUUUGGUUUUGGUUUUUCAUUUUCUUUUUUCUUUUUUCUUUUUUGUGGAACUUAAGAAGCGUUCAAAGGGGCUGCGGAGACCAGUGAGAAACGAAAGGGGAGAGAAGUUCAUAGUUUGAAUUGUUUUAUGCUAAUAUUACUAAAAGUACUUCUCAAAAUAAAUAAAUAAAAAGUAUACAAAGUAUGCUUUGGUUGCUUCUUCUUUCCUCUUUUUGUUCUUAAUGUAUGUUUUCUCUGUGGACUCGGUAUUUGACACGGCUCCAAAAUCUAUAAUUUGAAAGAGAUAUUCUAAUUUUUGACUGGGGAAUGUUUUGUAUACUAGGCACCGUUUGAUUUGGACAUAAACAAGAAUUAUUAUAGAGAUAGAUACAAAUAUGGGAUAAAAAAAAUAACGUUUGGAUAAAAAUUGAAUUAUUUCCGGAGAUAAAAAAAAAAUAGCAUUUGGAUAGAUAGUAUGAAAUAAAAAAAAUAAUAAAUAAUUAUAUAUAGAAAAUAGAGGUGUUGGUAAGAAUAGUUAUACCAAUUUAUUUCAGGUAUCCGAUAAUUACUAUUCUCAGAUAAAAAAUUAGCGUUAGGGUUACGUUUUGUUCACCGUAAAUUAAACUGAAAAAUUAUUUUCACUAUAAAAAGUAUUUUCGCUUGUUUGAUUUUGAAAAAAGGUUAAUUUUUUUAUUUUUUUGCUGUUUUUGGACGAAAACGAGAACUCAGACUGUGUAAAAUUUUUUAUUUAUUUUUCUGUUGAAUCAAAUAAAUAUGAUUUUUUUUUCCAAUCAAACAAAUAUCAAUGCAAAUUUAUUUUUUUCCCUAUAAAUCAGACAUUACAAAAUAUAAAAUUUUUGUUUCACGAAAAAUUAUUUUUCACGAUUUUACGUUAAACCAAACAGAUCAUUACAUGGAUUAAAAACAACAUCAUCUACGCAUCCUAAAUUUCAUAAAAGUUUAAUUUUAUUAUUUUUAGCAUUAUUUAUUUAGUAAUAAGGUGAUUUUAAAUAUAUCUUACACAUAUAGUUGAAAUUUAUAAAUUUUGAGAUAAUAAUAGCAAUAGAAUCAUAUUGAAAUAGUACGAAAUUUAAUUUUUCAAUUCGUAUUUAAUCGUGUCGAUCGUCGAUUCGCAUGACCCUUCAUUAGAUGCAAUAAAAAAAGUAUCAAAAAGUUGGUACUUCUAAAAAUAUUUUAGCAUAUAGCUAUAUAUAUUAUUUUAUUUUAUUAUUAAAAAAUAUUAGAUUUAAUGUAUGAACUUAUUGUAGAUUUAUUAAACUUGUUAAUUCUCUUCUAUGAAAAGCUAAUCGAACUCAUCUGAUAUAUUCUAUCAUUAACAAUUAUAACACUGCCAAUAUGGUUACACUAACAAGUUACAAAAUAAGAUCAAAUAUUUUGUUUAUUUAUUAUGUAUCAUAUUUUAGAAGUUCGUGCAAUAUAUCUACGUAUUUCAUAUGUAUUUAUCUUUACUUAAUACCCCAUCAACAUCUUUUAGUUUUUUACUAUUAAAUGUUUUCCAACUUUACAUCAAAGCCCAAAACAAUAAAUAAAUAAAAUAUACUACUACCAUUUUGUAUAGUUGAGUGUUACCAUGCAUGCUCAUCUAAGCAAAAUAUGCAUGUCAUUUAUAUUAAUUAAUUAAUUAUACUCCACAACACAAGGGAUAAAAAGUAGGUCGUUAUAGGUGGUAGUUUGUUUGUUGGUGUGAUAGGUUUUCUUUUUAAUUCAUAAAGAUCGAAGUAUAAAAAUCUAGUGACUGAUAUUUUUUUAAAAUUUUUUUAUACUAACCAUAAAGCCAUUUUCAAAUAUUUUAAAAUCACCAAAAAUAAACUAGAUUCAUACAUUUUCCUCUGCUUCGUGUACAGCAAUAUAGUACUCUUUUUAUUAGAUUAGAAUCAUGUUGUUUAUUUGAUUACAAUAACUAUUAUUAUAUUUUAAAUAUCUUGUCAGAUUAGGAGUAUGUUUAAUAUUUAAUUUUUAAUCAUAAUAUGAUUACUAUCCUACAAUUAUAGAAAUUCUUUUGGUUUAUUAUUGUUGUUUUUUUGUCCUUUCCUCCUCAAAGCAUGGCUCCAAUUUUCAGAGGAUUUUGACCUUGUGGAUCCAUUUCUCACGUACAGUCCCCGUGAAUGGUGGUGGUAACUAUUCUUCAAUUAUGUCAUAUUAUUAUCAUGAGAUUAUUUUAAGUGGUGAUUGGACCUAUAUUUUCACCAAAUUUCGUACGUGCUAAUACCCCUACUUUUCUUUAGCAAAAUGCUUUAGAUUCCACAAAAGAUUCUAUACAACAUUACUAACAUGUUAACACACUCGCGCACUAUAUUUGACGCACUUUUAAAAUCUUAUAUAAGUAUUUCAAGAUCAGGAUUUAAUUUAUUAUAUAUGUUUUACUAUGUUGAAAAGAUAACACAUACCAAAAAAAUUAAAUCGUAUACUCCUAUUUCUUACGAUGUGAAUGGAAUUAUUAUUUGUUUUCCGUAUCAUUAAUUUUUAGAAUUGUUCGAUGCUGAGGUAAUAGAUCUUAAAGCCGUAUAAUUAAUUAUCUGUAAAGUCACAUAAUCGUGUCAACCAGUGGGGUCUAAAUCUGGGACUUAAUGAAAAAAAAAAAGAAAAAAGAAAGAGAGACAAAAAAAAAAAAAAAAGAAAGAAGAAGAAAAGACAAGAAAGGCACUGCCAGCCAAUAAGGAGACCGACGACCACAAAAGGCGCGGAGCCGAGCAGGACCAAAACCAAAACAUGUUGACUCUUUUUCGGGUAUUAUUAGUCACACAAAUAUUCAAUAAUUGUACCGGUGCUCAUUUAAGUUACCCUUCCGUUUCCUAAUUUCAAAGCAUGGGUUAGAAUAGUACUCAGAGAGAGAGAGAGAGAGAGAGAGGGAGAGAGAGAGAGAGAGAUGCAUCACAUGCAGAUAAAUAUUAUUGAAAACACAGUUGUUUGUAAAAAGCAAUAUUUUCCAUGAUGGUACUAUUAUAAGGAACUAGGCUACUAUACUAUUAACAGCACAAAAUCAUUAGUACUAUCAAAUUUUUGGCCAUUAGGUUAAGAAAUAUGCGGUUAAGAUGAUGUGAGCUCUCUAGGGUUGAGUAGGUGGUUUGUUGAAUAAUAUGAUCUAACGGAUGAAAAUGAUCAAAAGGAUAGAUCUAACGGCGAAAAAUUUGGUAGCACCAAGUGCUUCGUGCUAUUAAUAGCAUAGUAGCCGGACUCCUAUUAUAAGACUAGGGCUACUAUACUUUUAUAAGUAUAGACACUUUUAUACUCAUAAAUUUUCGACCGUUGGGUGAAAAAAUGUACGGUUAGGAUAAUAAUGACCCGUAAUUAAGAUGAUAGUAAUCGGGUAGGAUUGAGUGGGUGAUUGUUUGAACAGAAUGAUCUAACGAUUGAAGAUGAUCAAAAUGAUAGAUCUAAUAGCUAAAAGUACAAAGAAAAUCUAUACUCGUAAGAGUAUUAUAGCAGCCGGACUCCUAUUAUAGAUCAAAGGGCUAAACAUUGAAGAGCAUACACUAUUCGUAUGCUUCUCAGAGCAUCCGAGAGGGAAUAGGCUUUCACUAGAUAAAUUCUGGGAGCACUUGAAGAAAAUAAGAUUUGUGUUGUAGUGCCUACAAGACAGGAUUUGGCUUUCAGUAUGACCAAAGGCAAACAGAUCAAAUGUGAAAAUAUGCUCAAGUGCUUUUCAGUGGAACUACAAAAAUCAUAUUAUGUAAACUGAACUCUUAUCCUGAACUAAUCAGGAAAGAUACAUGAAUCAAGCUCAGAACCUCAUAAAACAGAAGGGAAUGAAGAAUGACUCAAAAGCGUACGGUAUUAUUCAAGAACUAAUCUGGACAAUGGUUGAAGCUGCAACUUCUUUGUGUAUGAAGGCAUAGUCAUCUUCCCACUUAAUUCAUACUUUUGCCGUGCGUGGUUUCCUUCUUGGGUCUCUGAAAGCAAGCAGAAAAGCUUCAAAGCUUGGGAAACAAGUUAGUAGACUAAUCCCGAAGACUUUGAAUAUAAUUUAACAAUAGACUUGUACUACUCUCACUACUAAUUAAGGCGACACAUCUAACACGGUUUCUUUAUAAAAGCCUCGAAUUGAAAAGGAACUUAAUAUGAAGCAACACCGGUGGACGAAAAUAGUAAGUCUGAUACUUCUGCUGCAUCGGAAAGCUAAAUUAGCUUCUAAAACAAAAGUUGCUACCACAACAAGAACAUAAUUGCCGAAUACUGCAACUAAAAUGAACAUGUGGAUUUCUUUUCACCUUUGCCGUAAAUUCUCAUAAACAACACCUUCAUUCAUGCAUCUACGAUGGACAAAUCAAAUAUGCCUCUGGAAAAUUAAACAGCAAGCAGAGAAAAUAAGGGCGUGACAAUCUAAAUUAGAUGACAAACAAAAAAAAAAUAGAAUAGGUAUUCAAUAGUUGAGCUAGGACUGUUAAGUGAUGCAUGUAAAUUUGAGUUUAGAAACACAAAUAGCGAGACAUAUAUAUAUAAUUCAGUUCCUCAGGAAAGAAUAAAACUAGUAACGAGAAAUGUUUCUCGAUAACCAUUUGUUUAACUUGCAACCAGAUGACCGCCUGAAUUCUGCAGAAGUAUACCGUAGAAAUAAAAAUAACUAACAGAUCAAUCGGCAUCCUAUCAUCUUUCUGACAUAAACACAAACAAACAAACAGGAGAACAUAAACCAUGGCAAAUACUGGGAUCUUUCAUCAAGAUAAAGAAUCAUCCAAUUUCUGAAAAGAGCCACUACUUUUUCUCGCUCAAGCACACCAUAGUCUAAAUCUAUGGAUGAGAAAAGAAAAGGCAUUGGUCACUGGGAAUUUGGGAUCCUGCUUGUAUAAAGAUGCAUAUUACCAGGUAGAAAAUCAUAUGCCAACAUUACGGUGAUAUUUCCUUCCGAGAUAUGAGUAACCGGAGCUGUGCUGUUAGUUGUAGACCAUGUAUUUGGGCGUUGCGCUGAACUUCUGAUAACCCUUAAUAACCUUAUUCACUGCAUCAAGAAAGUCCUUUUCGGUUACCGUCUUCCUGCGUGCCCGGAUUGCAUACAUCCCGGCUUCGGUGCACACACUCCUUAUGUCCGCCCCUAAUAUAAAGAAAUACAGGAAAUAGUUAGAAACUUGUGAAGAACAAAUAGAGCAAUUUUGAUGUUUGUCCAAGUAAAAUAGACCGUAGAAAAACAUAUAACACCAAGCAUCUAAGUUCCAAGCAUUCAGACCGGCUUUUACUUUUAAAGAAAAGGAGAAAAAAAUGUGUAGCGGAGCAUAGUAACUUGUAAAGUAAAAAAGUACAGAGCUACAUCAGUUAUAGCACAUUUUAAAGUAGGUGCCUGAACUUCUAAAAUUUUGACAUAAACUAUCAAAGAACUUUCCGACUUCAAAGAACUUUUCGACUUCAGAAAAUUCUACCUGAGUUUUGUCAAAACUUAAAAAAGGAUUUUGUCAAAUUGGUUAUAGAAUAUUUUAUCAAGUAAGAAAUUAUCCCAUUAGAUUAUAAAAUACCCACCAAGUUUUGAACAAGAGGUACUCACAUCAAAAGAACUACAAGUUUAGAUGGUAAAUUAACAACUUUAAGUUCAGGUAGGUAAGAUCUGUUCAAUUUUGCUUAAUUGUUAGAUGGAGUAUUAUCAAGACAAACCCCUUAUACUAUUGAAAUGAGGUAAAGAAACACUUCAGUAAAUGCUCACCAGUGGAGUUAGGGCAGAGGCGAGCAAGAAGCUCAAAUCUGAUGUCCCUUUCGCAAUUCAUUGUUUUUGUGUGGAUCUUGAAUAUCUUUGUGCGACCUUCCAAGUCUGGCAGACCAAACUCAACCUUACGAUCCAAUCUUCCCGGACGGAGUAAAGCUGGGUCCAAAGUGUCAGGCCUGAAAAGUUUUGGAAAGAGAGGGAGAUGAAUUCAUAUGUUCUAAGGGCAUGGUUAAGAGUUGACUUGAAGCACAGCUAUAAACUAGAAAACAUCAAGCUGUCGAACCUAUUGGUUGCCAUUAGAACUUUGAUGUUUCCUCUAGCAUCAAAACCAUCAAGCUGAUUGACGAUUUCAAGCAUAGUACGUUGAACUUCAUUGUCCCCACCAACGCCAUCAUCAAAACGAGCACCGCCAAUAGCAUCAACUUCAUCAAAAAAAACAAUGCAUGCCUUCUUUGAACGGGCCAUCUAAAUGACAAGACUAGUUGUUAGACAAACAGCGAAAGUAACUAAGAAAGUAAGGAAAUCCAAGAACAAUAAUCAAAUAAGUUCGCCAUUGAAUCGCCGGAAACCAAACAACCUGGAAAAGUUCGCGGACCAUUCGAGCUCCCUCCUACAUACUUCUGAACCAGCUCACUUCCAAUGACACGAAUAAAGCAGGCAUCAGUUCUGUUGGCCACGGCUCUAGCAAGGAGAGUUUUUCCUGUUCCAGGAGGACCAUAACAAAGGACACCUUUAGGAGGAUCAAUUCCAAGCUUCACAAAUUUCUCUGGAUGAAGCAUUGGAAGCUCCACAACCUGAGGAACAAUAAUAAGAGAAAACAAAAAUGAUGCGCUCUGGUUUAAUUCACCAACUUGCAGGUACCCGCCAUAUGUAUAAUCAUUUUACACUGCUGUCAAACCUGAAUGAGCGAUAACAACAUGAUAUUUUUAUUUUUAAUCACAAAGAAAAGGCAUACCUCUCGCAUCUUUUCAAUCUGCUCCUUACACCCACCAACAUCAUUAUAUGUGACAUCAGGCUUCUCCUCCACCGUCAUCAUCGUAACACUUGGAUCAAUUUUUGGUGGCAAGGGAAUCUGGAUUUGAUACAUAUUUCGAUCAACUCUGCAAAUGAAAGAUUAUUAGAUCAAACCAUGAUGUCCAACCAACACCAAUUGAGAUUUUCAAUAAAAGUCUCAGUCCUAGUAAAAUUAUUUGAUUACAACUUUGCGGAUAACUAACUGCACCAUGCCACAAAUGCUUAUAGAUACAAGAAGUGCUGAAGCGCUACAGAUGGUUUGACGCGAUAUAAUGUAAGGUCAUCUAAACUGAAUAUUGCCAGUUGCACAACAAAACAUACAGUCCAGGUAAGAUUGAUUCCAACAUCCACCUCUGUAGUAAUUAUGAAUGUCACAGGAACUUUGAUGGCCUACAAGUAUUAUAAUUCUCAUGCAAAUACCAGAUUAAAGGACUCAAAAGACAGUACCAAGGAGAUAGCGAUGUAUAAUUCCUUAUAGAUAGUAUGUUGUCACAACCAGCAACUAGGUGCCAAGGCCAUCCAUCACUGUGAUUAUGUAACUCAAGUCUGUUUUGCCAAUUAGUUGCUUCAGAAAUAAUCUUGCACUAACAAAUUAUUGUACUCUAUUUGUUUUACUUUUAUUAUUCUACAAUUGCUUUUGUAAUAUAUUAGACACUAGCUUUAGCGCGGAUGGGGGAAUGGGAGAGAGGGUGGGAAAGACAAUUAUUGCUAUUAUAAUGGAAAACGUCAAUAACGACACACUAGCUAGUUAGAAAAACUAAUACACCUCAAAUGAAGCAGUCAUUGAAGAGAAAUUGAGACAACUAAUCAAGUGAAUGGUAUUGUAGCCUUACCCAACUCGCAUGGCUUCUUCAAUAUCAGUUGGAGAGACUUUGUCGCCCAACCCGACCACAAACUGCAUAAGUCCAAUAGAAGAAAGAGAAUUUAAGUUGGGACGACCAUGUUGUUGUCCAUUUGUCCAGACAAGUAAACAUAGUAGGAAGAGCAUUACAUGCUCAAAAAGUAUACCUUGGCAAUUUGCUUAACAUUUAUCACAUAUUUAGCAUCUUCUGUGUUCGGGCUAAUAAUCUUCGUACACCUAGCAACCUUUUGAUGAAACAACAAUCUAGUCAGACACCAAAUAUGUAAGACGUAAAACAAGUUUACUAAUAAACUCCCAGAUAUCACAGAAUAAAACAAGCACGAAUACCUAAAAUUCAUGCAAAUUUGAGACAAAAAUACCUGCAGAGGUUGUUCCUCUUGCAUCAUUUGCUUGUCAGAAACCAAAUCCCACUGGCUAGGUGUAGCUAAACCAGUGUCUGACUCUUUGAUUCCUGGCAUUUCAUAACAAAAAAUGUCUCAAAGGUUCCAAGAAUAUAAUAGCAACAGAUUUUAAUAACAAAAACUACCUAUCACUACAUUAUGCUAGUUUAAAUAAGCUGUGGAAUCAACUUAUUCCAAAUACUCUUUCGGAAAUCUAAAGAAAAGAAAGAAAGCAUUUUUAUAUCUAAAUUAGCUCUUCAUGAGUAACGACAACCGACUCCAGUCACAAAAGACGCCACCUUUGAAAAGCGCACCUCUAUUUCAAGCAUCUUAGUACAUACCCAUUUGUAAUGUCCAUUGUAUGCUUGAUUUUGCUACAUAAUAGAACCGGACUAUAAUAAGAUAAACUCAAUUCUUCAAGGAACUAUAACUUAAAACAUCAAUCAUAUGCAUCGGGAGCUUAAAUACACAAAAUUUGAGUCAAAACAAUGACUCUUUACGUAUCACUUGAGAAAGUAGAGUCACAUUAUUUCAUUACAAGAAAAAUAUAAGCAAAACAAGUUCCAGUUUACAUAUUUGUACAUCCAUUUCUUCGUAUGUAUCUAUAGAGAUACAUAUAUUUAGGCAUAUGAUGAUAUUAACACACUACUUACCACAUAGAUCAUUGAUCUUCUUCACCAUCUCCUUAAUCUCCUUCUCCGCCUUCUUUAUGCUCUCAGAAUAAGGUCCCAGACCCUGCCAUAUGACACAAUUCUCAUCUUAUCAUCAUAAAUGUACUUAAACAAAAUAAGAGGAACAUCAAAUAGUUUCCACACAAACCCUUACUAUACAAUCGAUCCAAACAACAAAGGUAUUAAUAACUCACCACUCUAGAUCGCAUUCACCAACAAUAAAACUAGAUCUAGCGGAAUCUGAUGCGCAAACAAAGUAACCUAACCUAACCUAGCCCUAAAUCGAGGCGAACCAAAGAAGUGAAGAGAUUAGGGGAUGCGUACGUAGGUUUUGAGGAGGGCGAUAUCGUCUUCGUCGAGGGGGCAGGCGCAGGUUCUUCUCGUUCAACUCGUCUUCGGGCUACAGAACCAUGGCGAGGUCGAGGGAAGGUAGCGAAAAUGGCGAGUGCAAAAUUACAAAAUAGGUCGAUUUCUUAUUCACGGCAACAUGUUAUAGUGGUCGGACAAAUUUUAGUCCGACACGCCUAGAUCAAUGCCACGUGUCAGCGGAAUGGGAUAUGUAGGAGUAGGACGAUUUUUGAUUCGGCGCCUGUAUGUGUGUUGACACGUGUCACCUGAUUCUUGAACGUUCGACAUCUAAAUCCUACCCAUUUUCUCCUCUUUUAAUACAAAUUUAUUUUAUUUGAUUGGGUAUGUAACUUAUUAUUAUUAUUAUUAUCAUUAUUUUUAUACGAAUCCGAUAUGAUUAGAUGAACUUCUUAAAACAACAACAACAACAACUAAAAUUCAUUUACAUCAAUUUUGAAAAACAAAGAGGGAAUAACAAUAUUUCAAUCAAAACCAUCAAAGUACAGCACACACAAUCUGCAAAUUCUGAAACAAACUUUAAAUGCUGCAAAGGCAGUGAAAAACAACAAUUUGGCAUUUAAGAUCUAUUAGCAAUAAAUUAGAAGAAAUAAGAUUGCAUGAAUACCAAGGUCUUGCUUGUCCUCAAAAAUAUCAAAAACUUUCUCACUAAAACUGGAAUAGGUUCUGCAAAAUGUCUAUUAAUAUGUUCCUCCUUACAAAAUACAACAAACACUAUUCCUACUGGUUAUACAGUUAAGACAGAUACACAUGAAAUUAUAUCGGAGAUGCCGCCGCCUUGGAAUAAGUUUCGAGUUUCUUAACAUUAAAGCAUUAGAAAUAUAUAGCAAAAGUAGUUUGUAGAAAAUAUUGCGGAACGAAUUUGCGGCGCAGGUUCAAAAUUUUUUUUGUCAGUUGAUUCAAUAUAACGUAAUUGCCGACUUCUUUAGGGUUAUUGGGUAACCAUAAGUUGUUGAUUGUUAUGCCAAGCCACGACAUCCUCGUAUUGUAGAUUGCCCCCAAAUAUAUCGAGAGAACUUCCAACUGUAACAUCAACGUGGCCCUUGCCAGCGGUUUUUAUCCUAUCCAGCUCUUCCAUUGUUGAGACCCCGCCAGCAUAAGUUACCGGAAUCUACAGUGUGAAAAUGUUGAAAUAUAUGUAUGAGUUUUUAUCGACAUCCGCCGAUCAUAUUGAGCACAAACAAAGCUAAAAUCUUUCAUGCUCAAAACAAAUUAAUAUAUACUGUAAACAGGAGUACUAAUUUUAUAAAGAGGCAAUGUAAAGUUGAGUUCAUCAGUGAUGCAAUGUUGCAUUUGAGGUUGGGCCAAAAGACACUACACCUGUAAGGUACUAGAUUUUAGAAACACAAAAGCUAAUAUUAAAAAUGAAAGUAUACAAUAAAUAGCGCCUUUAAUGAUGGCCUUUAGUGACAAAUUAGCAAAACCAGAGCUCGUUCUUGGGUUAGGGGAACCAAGUCAUAAACAUGUGGAGAAAACUAAAUAACAGAAAGUAAGGUAUUACGUACAGGUGAGUAGCAUCCAAGCAGUGUCACAAGCUCCUCAUCAAUUCCUAGCCUGCCAUAGCACCAAGAACAUUAAUUAGAAACCGAGAUAAUAUAGUUACCGAAUCAGUUCUUGUUGGAGCCUAUAUUUGACCGAGUCCAUCAGAAUACUAAAAUGCUAACCAUUCGCAAUGUGAUAGAGGUGAAAGAAGAAACCAGCGAUAUAUUACGAAAAACCAAAUGGCAUGCCAAAGGUAGAGCGGUAAGAAGCUCCGGGUUGCUUUGAAAAGAAUCGAGUAGAAAUACUGUAGAGUAAGUCACCUUUUCCCCUCCACGUCAACUCCAUGAACCAAAAACUCAUCUGCAUAGGUCGCAAGAAAUUCCAAUGUCUGCUCUUCUAGAAUGACAUCACUGAAUUUCUGCCAUCUGUCAGUAACAAUGGCGUAUUUACCAUUCUACACCAAAAUCAUAAAGUCUACAAUCAAAUAAUACUACCAUUGAAAAGAAACAUAAUUUGCUAUCAACUCGGUAUGCACAAAAAAAAGUCUAAUUGUAAAUGUCAAUAGCAUGUAGCUAGAGAAUGUAACAAGUGAAUAAGUAAAACCAACAAUAUCAAGAAAAUUUCCCGUACCUUCUUUCUACAACUAAGAUCCAAGACAAGCCUUUGCUUUCCAAUCAUACCAACAAGAUGUUUAAGCCGUUCAAGGUUCAUUUGUCCAUUACUGAAAACAUACUGCAAGUCAAAUAUUUAAAUAGUUACUAUGAACUCAAUAAAAAAGGUCAGCAUUGAAUUGACAUAUAAACUUACUAUAUAUUAGUGGCGGGCAAAGCAUUAAAUAUGUGUAGAGAACCUGUGCUCCCCGAGUAAUGUGUUUUACACUUUGAAAUGCAGGGACUUGUGAGAUUAACAUUAGUACAUUAGCUUUCAUUAGAACUUUGGAAUUUUAAGUUCUUCUAAAUUUUCAACUACAAAGCAGAAAAAAUUUCAAUUAUGAAACUAUUUGUUAUGUGAAAGUUAUUGAGUACAGGAGAGAAACAUACAAAACAAUGAUUAUGAUCAUUCCAAAGAUUGAUAUGAGCAAAUGCAAACCAGAAGUAUUUUGUGUAUAAUAAAAAAAAAGGGACAUGAUAACUAUGCUGUUGCUCAAUCAAGCAAACAAUGUCUGUGAAAUAAAUAAAUAAAUCACAUACUGAUGUAACAAUCACGUGGCUUGCACCUUCCUUGAUAUAAGUCAUGGCAUUGUCCGAAUUGAUCCCACCUCCAAGUUGCAUGCCACCUAAAGUCAGGACAAUUUAUGGUCAUAUUGGCAUGGAAUUACUAUGUCUAAAUUGUGAUGUCAUAUAGCAGACAAAGCUUCCAUACUGAGAGAAAAAUGCUAGAGAAAAUACAUCAAAACCUAUUAAGAGCAUCAUUGUAACAUUAUUUUACCACGGAUAUACAAAAAUCAUAGGCUAUAACAGAGCAACACAAUAGAAAAGGCUACCAUCAUUGUAGGGUCUAGGAGGAGUCUAUAGUUGUCUCUAGGGAGGUUGUUUGCAUGAUUCAAAUCCACACAGCUGAGAAUGAAAGGUUGACUACAGAAAAAUAAUAAAAUAAAUUAAAAUUAUCCUUCUCCUAUUACAGAUAGCUUCUUAAUGCUGGAAAUAGUAGCUUGUUCAACUAAACGAAUUAGGUCUUCAUGUCAUUCGCACAGUAACACUCCACUACCAUUCCAAUUCCUGCACAUAGUCAGAAUUCUGACAAACUACAAUUCAUUACAUCUUUAAUCCGGAUUGAGAGAACAGAAAAUUUUUCUACUUUACACCUGCUCAAGCGAGGACUUUUACUUUCAGAAGUUCAAGCAAGAAGAACCCAAAGUUUCCUCACAGGAUGCAAAUUAUAAGCCAUUUGAUUGCGUGCAACUACAGUUAACUAAUAAUAAGAACUAUGCAUUUACAAAAUCAGGUAAACUAGUCUAGUUAAAUCUCGAUAUUGUGAAUUUGACAGCUUACUAUCUUCCACAUCAACUACCAUUAAUGCAGGGUUCAGUUACUAUGAAUCUUACAGUUAAUUGACCAUUAAGCAACAUAAGAAAAUCAAUGGCACAGUAUAGUGGAUUCUUUGGACCUAGAGCAAGUAACAAUCAUGCAAAAUCAUGGCCGAACAUUUCAAACCCCCACAUUUCAUCGAAAAAAAAAUAAAAAAUCCUUCUUUGAAGGAAACAAGUUAAGGAUAUGAAACCCUAAUUCCAACCAAAGAAGAGAUGAUCUCACCAGGAUAAGCAUGCAAUGCCUCCAAUGCCGCGACUCGGCUCGCAUCAUCGGCCCCGAGCAUUAUAACAUGGCCCCCCGUGAGCCCAUCCUCCUUGUAUAGAUUCGCGAACUCCGCCGGAGACUUAUCCGAUUCAAAAUUCGUCACAAGAGCCGUACCAUCCACCACCGUAUCCCUUAGCGUGGAUCCCACGAUCUGCUUCACUUUCCCCUACCAACCCACAGCAAAUUCGAUCAAAAACUAGGGUUUAAACAAAGGAAACGAGCGCGGGGGCGAUCUCGAAUCUAGGGUUUACCUUGUGGAUGUCGAUGCAGGGUCUGAAUCGAACGGCGCAUGCAACGAGGGAGACGCGAUCUACGCCGUUGGAUCGACGAGUUGGGAGAGAGAGGGGUUUACCGUUAGGGUUUCUCCGAUCAGGGAUGGGGUUGAGGGGAGAGGGAGGGACCCUCGCUCUCGCGCCAAAAAUCGUGCGCGUCGCCAUUGUUGAGGGGCGGAGUUAGAGGGAAGAGAGAGAGAGGAGAACGAUCCUCUCAAAAAAAGAAAGAAAAAAAAGUUUAAGAAAUAAAAGUAAAAAAAGAAAAAAUAAUCCGAUCCUAAUGGCCUUUAUCCCAAUGGAGUGCAACAUACAUAUUUUUUUGGCCCUUUUUUUUUAAAAAAAUAUAUUCGAGAUUUUUAUUAGAGUACAUGUUAUUAUAGAAUAACUUGUAUUUAUUUUCUACUAUAGUUUUUAUAUUAUUCUAUUUGAAUUUUUUGAUGCAUUUGAAUAGAAUGAAUUUUUUUAAAAUAUUUUUUAAUUUUUUAUUCUCAAAAUAAUAUAAAAAUUAUACUAAUAUUUGUUUCAUUUUUUAAAAUUAAAACAAUUUUACCUUUCUCUCAAAAUAAUAGUAUGACUCAUUUCUUUUAAACUGUAUUCAAGUCAUAUAUUUUGAAUGUUUUUUCAUUUUAAUACUUAAAUAAAAAAUAAAGCAGUUAAACAAAAUUUUUAAACUUUAAUUUUUUAACUUUUAUUCAUAGAAGUGCACUACUAUACAUUAGAAAAGUGCACUACUAUACAAUAUUCAAAUUUUUUUUAAAUUUUUCUUUUUUUGCAUUUAUUCUUUAAUUUUUUUUUUCUCUUACCUUACUAUUUCUAAGGGUAGAAAUUGUAAUAUGAAUUGACACAAUUAUAAUUCGGCCGAGUAUUAAUUUAGUGAGGGUAUAUUUAAGAUCCAACAUUUAAUUAUCAACAAAAUUUAGAAUCUUCUUUUAAAACAUGGCUUCAAACUAUUUCAAAAAAAAUUUAUUUUUGAGAAUUUAAGUUUAUAACUACAUACUGAAUUUUUUGAACUUCUAUUCUUAAUAAACUUGAUCAACACGCAAAUCAAAUCUAAAUACCUACGUGGGUAGGAUACUGGCCUAUUUAGAAACAAAAUGAAUAUACAUUUUUCACUAUUUUUAUUUUGAAAGUAAUUUAGCAAUUGUAAAGAGGGCCCUUUCAAUGCAAGAAAAGAAUAAAUCCAACCACCCACCACCCACGAUUUUAAAGCCAAAGCUGACACUUCUAGAAACCCUUUUCUCCUUUUUUUUUUUUUUUUUUUUUUCAGCAACAUAGAAAUGACAAAGUUACAAAGAGAGGAGAAAAAAAAAAACUCUAGAAGAUUUUUAAGUCAUUAGUCAUUAAAAAUAUAAAAGGAAAUUGCAGAGCCUCCAACAUAUAAAACUGCAUAUAGAUCCCUUCAACAAUAUCAAUUUCGAAUUGUCUGAUCUGAUUUAUUCUCUAAAAUUCAUUAAAAAUUAAUGGGUUUGUUAAAUUUUACAUAUUAAAAUUGGACAAAAUUGAUAGUUUUAUUAGCUAAAACAAUGAAAAACUUAUCAUUAAUUUAAGUUAAAAAAGUGUUAAUUAGAAAAAUAAUAAUAAUAAUAGUCGUUUAAGGGUCGAUUUUAAAACGUUCUCAUCUUAGAGGGGUUUCCUGCAAAUGUUCACACUUAGGCGCUUUUCCCCCUCCCUUUAAAAACACUUCUUUCUCCUGCAGCGUAUCUCCAACGAUGAAGCAACAACCACUCUCCUCUUCCUCCUCCUAGAAUACCCCUCCUCUUCCCAAAAUGGCCCCGACACUUCUCCCUCCUUCCACCACCACCGAGCUCGACAAUGGCGACUCCCUCACCCUCUGCUACCUCCCUGUUUCCUCGAACUCCUCCGACCAGUCUCCGUUGACCCCUCCGCCGGAUCCCUCCCACUUCUCCUUCUCCUUCUCCAGCUUCUCCCCCGACAUACGCUACGCAGACGAGCUCUUUGGCAAUGGGAGGCUCCUCCCCUACAAGCCCCGACACCAAUCGGCACCAUCUACGGCAGAGAUGAGCAAUACCCACGACGCAAAACGCCUGCUUUUUCCCCACCGCCGCUCGGCAUCACUUGACGGGGGCAUUCUCCACCACACCGAGCGCCCGAGGCUUCGGAGGGCAACAUCGGACUCCGACCCAUUAACAACGGUGCCGCCGCGGCCAAGGUGGUACGAGGUGUUCAUGCUCGGGCCGAGGAGGUUCUCAGGCACGGUGGAGAUGAGGGAGGUAAGGAGUCGGCAGAGGCGGAGAGUGUCGCCACCGUCGACUCCUCCAAUGCACAAUUCAGCAUCGCUGCCGUGGAAGCUCCUGCAGUCGCUGAGCUGCAGGGGCAUGGAAAGCGCCGCCACAAUCUCAGCAGGGGCGCCGCAGCCGCCGCCGCAACAAGUCUAAACCUUACUAUAUAUCUGUUACCUGACAACUAGUUGGAUUUUAAAAAAACCUUCUAUGUUAUUCCAACAAUUAUAUAAGCUUUAUAGAGAAUCUAUUGAUUUUUACUGUCAUAUUAAUAUUUUCAAGUAUAUAAAAUGUGUUCUAAUCGAUUAGUUAUCUCGACUUCUUUAUCAGUCAUUUUCUGGGAUUUAAUUGGUGAACCAAAGGCCAGUUGGAGAGAACAAAUAAAAGAGUUCACGAGGAGCCCGAGAUUUGCAUUUAUGAGAGGCUCUUUAGGAGAUCCAAGAGUUCAAAAAUCAUAAACAGAAAAACCAUUGUAUUUCGCAUUGUUGAGACCUCAACUUUCAUUUAUUUUAUUUCAUUUUUUGUUUGUAACUGAAUGAUUUUGUUAGUAACUACAUUAAAAAAAUUCACCAAACUCAUUUAAAUCAUAGAGCAAAAUAAUUAACUAAUAGAUGACCAAUAGAUCUAUGAAAUUUAAAAAAUUCAGCUUAAUUUAGCAUAUUGUUCUACUUUUACCUUUGGAAUGUGAAGUUCAAACCACAAUAUGAACAUUACUAGAGACCUUUCCUCAGAACACUUGAUAAAAACAAAUCCAGAACAAAGUUAUGAAAUUAAUACUAAGAAAACAGCAAAUGUACUUUCAUAACUUUGCAACAAACAAAAUAUUCUUAGUAACACCCUCUAAUCUAAUGUUUCUCAUCCUCAAAUCAGAAAGAUCUAGAACCUUAUCUAGCAAGAGAUGAACAAAGACACAAUGGAGUUUUAAUGAUUCAAAACACACAUUAGGCACUUAGAUUUAGCACUCAUCAUGAACUAAAGAUGCAACUUAGAGCAAAGCUAUUUACAAAACCCCAUUAAAAGUGUUUUUCAUUAUUUGAGCAACUUCUAUUAUGGCAUAAAAACUUGUCAACUCCACUCCACCAAUAAAGGCACAAGCCAGUUUAGAUUCUGAGCAUUACUCUUCAAAUGAUCAAACCAAAUUUUGCACCAAUAUGUAGCGCAUGUUCAGAGAAUUUGACUGAUAUUAUGGUAUCUAUUCACCAUUCAAACACAAUUUUUACAACAACCAAAUUACAUGUAACUCAAUUGACAAGUUACAUCUCACACACAACAACAAAAAAAAGAGAAACCACAAAUAAAUCAAAGAUAAUAUCCACUCAGUUGAAACACUAGAGAGAUCCAAAACAAAUCUAAACAGAAACUUAGCAUUCCAUCCUAACACGGUUCAAUUGAGAUACAACAAUAAGACCCAAAAACAAACCAAAUCAGAGGGCUCACCAACGUAAAUUACACUUUACUGUCUAUCCCAUCCGGCCCAAUGAGAAGCACAUAAAACAUCAAAUAAAUAAGAAAAUAUCUCAUUGUAAGGUAAAAGUCCUUGUUCACAUUUGAGAGCACAACCACAUCCAUUCAUAUCAAACACCUAGCCACAUCCCACAAAAAAAAAAAAAACCCUAAAAUCGGAAGCUAACUACGAUCCAUAUUAGAUCCAUCCUUUUCCAAUCUCACGUACACUAACACAACGAUCAAAAUGGCAAAGGGAAAGAGAGAGAGGGAGAGCGUUCAACCACCGAAGCCAUAGAGGGUGCGGCCCUGGCGCUUGAGGGCGUAGACGACGUCCAUGGCGGUGACGGUCUUGCGGCGGGCGUGCUCAGUGUAGGUGACGGCGUCGCGGAUGACGUUCUCGAGGAAGAUCUUGAGCACGCCGCGCGUCUCCUCAUAGAUGAGGCCGCUGAUGCGCUUCACGCCGCCGCGCCGCGCCAGGCGCCGGAUCGCCGGCUUCGUGAUCCCCUGGAUGUUGUCCCGGAGAACCUUGCGGUGGCGCUUCGCCCCUCCCUUUCCCAACCCCUUCCCCCCUUUCCCCCUCCCCGACAUGGCCGAUCCCUCGAGCUCUCUCUCUCUUUCUCUCUAACGCUAUCUCUCUCUCUCUCUCUCUCUCUCAACUUUGAUGAGGGGAUUUGGGGGUAAUGGUAGGGAACAAGGGGAAGAGGAGGAUGAGGGGUAUAUAUAGGGAAGAGAGGUGUGAGAUUAGCCGUUGGAUGAGAUGGCGAUCCGAGGGAGAUCGUAACGCUUGCCGUAGUCCGUUCGAUUGGAGUAACUCGUUGUUGAUUGGUGGGAAUUGGGAGUAGCGGAUUAAGGUCGUAGAGUGGGCCGUUUCUAUGUCUUUGUAAUUUGGGCUCGCGGAGAAGUUAUCUCGGGCCUCGGCCCACUAAAAACCCCUCACCUAUUAAAACCUUUGAACUAGGCCCCUUAAGUAUAAUAUUUUUAAAAAAUUAUUAAAUUAAAUUUGAUGAGAUAUUGAUAAAGUUAAUAAAAUUUUUAAUUCAUUGGACGAAACUCGCUCGAUUCUAUAGAACUAAAAAUUUAAAACAUCAAUUGAAAAGAAAUAUUGAUUAGCUAUCUGAUAAUUACCUAUAGUUAAGGGGAUCGCCAUGCAAUUUUACCCAAAUUAAUCCCUCCCAAUGAAAGAGAGGGAAACCCCAAACAAACUGCUGAGUUUCAUUUUUAAAAAACCAAAAACAGCUCCGCGCCAUCAUUUCUCUUCAUUUUCAGAUCAAAACUGCGCGGAAAAAACCCAAAAAAAUCCCCAAAAAAAACAAAAACAAUACCCCCGCCCAAAUGCUCCACCACGACGACGAGGACGAAGACGAGGAUGAAGCCAUGGCCAUGACGAUGCUCCGACCCCAAAACCCUCUCCACCUCCCAACCGAAAAGCUCUCCCUCGGUUGCCCCGUCCUCGACCGCCUCCUCCAUGGCGGCCUCCCCUGCGGCUCCCUCACCGAGCUCGUCGGCGAAUCUAGCUCCGGUAAAACCCAGCUCUCCCUCCAACUCCUCCUCUCCUCCCCCUCCACCUCCCUCUUCAUCCACUCCCCCUUCCCCUUCCCCCUCCGUCGCCUCCUCUCCCUCCCCCAUCCCCACGCCAUUAACGACCCCAACUCCCUCGAUCGCAUCCUCCUCGCUCCCGCUCACUCCCCCUCCCACCUUCUCUCCCUCCUCUCCCGCGCCCCCCGCUUCCGCCUCCUCGUCGUCGACUCCCUCGCCUCACUCUUCCGCUCCGAGUUCGAUCCCACCCCGAUCGCCAUGGCCCGCCGCACCUCCCUCCUCUUUGAAGUAGCCUCCAUGCUCAAAUCCCUCGCCCUCCGCUUCGGCGCCGCCGCUGUCGUCACCAACCACGUCGUUGUGGUCGUCGGGGCGCAGGGUGGCCCCUGCGCUCGGGAUCUCGUGGGCGAAUUGCGUGAACACGAGGAUCUUCUUGUCGAGGAGCGAGGAGGUUGUUGAGGGUUCGGGGGACGAUGGGGUUACGAUGAGGACGAGGACGAGGAGGAGGCUGCAAGUGGUGUUUGCGCCGCACUUGCCGGAGUCAUCGUGCGAGUUCGUGAUCCGGAAGGAAGGGGUCUUCGGCAUAGAACCGCACAGGUAAAGCCGCUUUCGAUUUCCCUUUCCCGAUCUCAGUUUUUGUAAUGUUUAAAUUAAUGCAAUGUUCCUUUUCCAUGAAUAUAUUGCUUUCAAUUGUGUUUGUUUUGGUGGUUGUGAAUGUGAGUAGUUUCCUCUGUUUUAGUGUGACGCAUCAAACAUGUUCGUAGAAAUGUUUCAGUGACCUAUCUUCCACUGGAUGGCCAAAUUUGAACCCAUUUUACACAUCGUAGUACCGUGCAUUUUUUAGAGUCGUAUGAAUAGGCCGGUCAUUGACAAGCUAGACAGGUGUGACUGUGAAAAGGAAAAUCACUGAUGCAUUUUAUCGAUCAGUGUGAGCUCUUAUAAGGUACAAAUCGAAGAAGUCUAGGCAAAUCAUGGUAAGGACCAGCCCUGAAACCUAGCAUGCAAUUUGAAUGUAGAGGUUUAUGUGCUUCGUUUACUUGUAAAUCCAUAAAUACUGGACUAAAAGAUGAACUCGUAAGUAAUUAGACGGGUAGGAAAUUCUUGAUUUAAGGAGCUAUAGUCAGUUAUGCGAUUAUCUUAUACUUGCUGUCCUAUUUAACUAUAUUACAUUGCUGAGCAUUUAUAAGCAGGUUAUUGUUUCUCGCGACAGCAGUGAAUGUUCUAAAGUGUUUUAGUCUUCUCAUCCCUGAUUAAAUUUCUUGAUUAGCAAGAGGAAGGUACGCCAUUGCCACUUUUUUCCAUCAUCUCUUCCGAGAGGAUAUUUCUCUUCUUGCUUUUGGUAUGCCUUUUUUUUUGUGACUUUGUGAAUCCUGUCGAAUUUGCAUCAUUAUGCUGCCAAAUUUAGUAGAUAUUGCAUAGUUCUGGAAGAAUACUAUCCGGAUAUAAAAUCAUCUUUACUCAGUGAAAUAUGUAGCCCUUUUUAAGGAUACAGGAGAUCUUUAUAAGGAGACACAUCCUAUUGCAUUCCAAGGAUUAGAAUUAUUAUCUUCUUUGGACUUGAGUAAUUAAGUUUCCCAAGCACAAGUUCCUCAAACUAAGGAUAGGAUUUGUGCAGAACUGUAACCUUGCAUUAGCUGUAUUGCUUCUUUCCUAAGGAUUGGACUUGAAUAAUUAAGUUUCAUAAGCGCAAAUACCUCAAACUAAGGACUGGAGUUAUGCAGAACUUUAACCUUGUAUUAGCUUAUAUUGUUCUUUCCUAUGUAGGCAAUUACCAGUUUGAGUGUCCUUUCCAAGUCGGCCGUUGAUAACAUUAAUUUUCACUUUUCAGUCACCCUCCUGAUUAACCUAACUACUUGUAGGUGCAUCUGGCACUAUGAAUGCAUUCCUUGGUUACCUAAUCAGGCUACUUAAGUUUCUAUUCAUCUCUCAUCUACUGCUAUUUAUUCAUUACUCAUUUCUCGAGGGCCAUUCUAUUCAGUCUUUGAAUUCUCUUUAUGAAAAAUCGGCUUUACCUUAGCAGAUACAUCGAUAAAUUUUCAAGUGAGACAUGCAAUUCUUAAGUAGCUUUGUUCCGCAUCCAUAUAUGUUACGAGUUGAUGUGUGAUUUCAUGAGUCAUCUAACCUACUGUUGAUCGGAGGUCCUUACAGCACAGUAAAAAAGUAACCACUCGCGUCUUAGAUUUAAUAACUAGAACUCUUUAUGAAAGUUAAGUGUAAUUUGAAGGCCCAGCAAGUUCUUUUACUAGCUACAAAAUGGAUGUUCAGACCUACAACUGGAGAAAGUGAUUAGCACAAGAUUAGUUUCAGAGGCUAGGUCACAAUUAGGGUUGCUAAAGGGCCUGGGCUGAACCUGCAGAGGCUAAGGAAGGGCCUACAUAGAACACUUAAUGGGCCUAGAUCAAUGAUUGUAUUAGACUACAGGCCUCAACCUGUCUCUUUUAAGACCCUUAUAUGAAUUUAUCUGUUACAAGGUAAUGUCAACUGCAACUGCUAAUUAUUCAGCGUGUAACUUUUCCUACAAAUAUAAAGUGAGCACUGCUUUAUAUAUAUGAUGUAUCUCAAGCUCUACUAGAAUAUAGAAAUAUACACAUAAUAACUAGUGGUUUGUUUUAGUGCUUUAGAGUUGGUUUCUUACGCGGUGUUGUAUUUGCAAUGUAUAAAGAUCAAAUCAAUUACUAACUAAUCGUAUAGUACUAAAUCAUCAAUAAUAUCAUCAUGAUAUGAAUACUCAGUAAUGCUACCUGCACAUCUAUAUAUAGGUGUUAAUCUUAAACCAUAGGAUUUUAUGGUUUAGAUUUAUUCAUUUGUCUUAUCAAAAAAAGAUUAACAAUGAAAACUUAAAAGAGGUUUUUGAACCCUAGAACCAUAGAGUGUAAGAUUUACAUCUUACAAUGGCAUGCACAUAAUAUUAUAUUAAGUAUAUCGCAAUGAGCCAGUUAUAAUAUAAUUUUUAUGAUUUCGCUGUAAAAUGGAGAUGCAUAUUUCUUUAUGCUUUUUAUCCUAAUUCUAUUUUGCUUAAUGACUUCAGAUAACCCCUGAUACCAAAUUGACUCUAAGAAUAGAGUAGGGAUAGGAGAAGCAUUUUGUAUACUUUUACUCCAAUUUUUUUUACCUAAUGACUUUUAGGUUAGAGAUGUAGAGAGAGAAAGAGAGAGAAAGUGCUUAGCUUAGAGAUAGAGAAGCUGAGAUUAGAGAAAGGGGGAGAAAGAGAGUAUAAUUAGAGAAAUAGAGAGAGAGAGAGAAAGGGUGAGAGAGUUAAGAUUAGUAAAAAGAGAUCAAGAGAUGGGAUUAAAGAGAGUAAGAGAGUUUAUGUUUAGAGAAAGAUGAGGUUAGAGAGUAAACGGGAAAAGUAGGUGAUGGAGUGGAGAGAGAGAAAAAUAGAGGGUGGAAUUACGAAUUUAAUGAUUAUUAUAAUUCAUUAAUAUAAAGGUACAUACCUUCUCCCAAUGGAAUAAUAUUAUUACUUUAGUGUGAAUCUCAUUUCCAAAUGAAUCUAAUAUUAUCAAUCAAAUUACUUGAUAUAUUUAGCCAAAUGUCAUCAUUUUAUUUUGUUUCUGUUAGAUUAGCGAAAAUUGUAAAAAAAUAACACAAACUAAAUACAGCUGUAGAACUAAAAUUCUCAUUUAGAAUAUUUCUUACUAUUUCUUCUAUAGAAGUUUCCAAGACCAAACUUUGCCUAGAUUAAUCUAAUUUACCCACGAUUUGUAUUUCGAAAGAUUUUGGGUGAAAUCCGAAUCCAUAUUUUGUUGGCUUAUAGAAUUUCAAUAUGGAUCCAAGAAGGACUAAUAUCAGGCUUAUGAUCGAUUCUCCAAAAAUUCAAACUAGAGUUAGGCAAAUAUGAAAGAAAAACAAAUUUUUACAUCUCAGAUGUUUGUAUCCUCAUUAUGUAUGUUAAUCCAAAAAAAAAGAAUAAUGGGUACAAAUUAUUUGAUAAUAGUCCAAUAUUAAUUAGAUAUAUUUCCAAUCCAAAUGUGUACCCUAGUAAGUCACAUGUAGUCCUAUUCAAUGAUGGUUGUCAAAUAAAUGCUCUUUAAUUAUCUCAUGAGGAGAUCAUAUAUUGUUUAUAAUAACUUCUAUUAGGAAAUUGAUUUUUCUUUUAAGGGAAAAGGGUAUUUCUAUAUUUUUCAAUUUUUUAUUCAUUUUCAUCUUUAUAUAAUAUAUAAUGAAAUAUAUUGAUCUGUAUUAUUAAUAUAUAUAAAUGUCAGUAUACAUAUAUGUAAACCACUUCAAUUAAAGGCCAUUUAUAACCUUUUUUUGUUGACAUAAAUUGUACUAUGUACAAAAGAAAAUUAGUAUUUUUUCACAUGAAAUAAUAAUUAGAGGAAUAAAAGGUUGAUAUAUUUUAUUACGUCCAAAUGUGCAAAAUUGAAAUCAUAGAUUACUUUUCUAAUUAAUACAGUGUGACUAAUUUGGUUACUCUUAUUAAAUACAUUAAAGCAACAUCAGAUUCUUAAGUCAUGCAGAUUUAAAUGGAGCAGAUUCUCCCUUACAUCCCUUAUAUAUUAUUUUUAUAUUUAAAUUUAUUUUAAUUUAGUUAUUUAAAACAUAUUCUAAAAUUAGAUAAAUUAAACAUAAAAAUAACAACAUUUAUCAAAAUAUUAUACUUAUUAAAUGGAUGAACUCCUAUACUAUAUUUUCAAAAAAGAGAACGAGCAAUUUAGGAGAAGAGUCCCUUUCCCCUCAACAACCACAUAACGUAAUAAGCUACAUAAACAUAUUAUCUUACAUUAUUAUUUUACUAUUUUUGCAGGUUCAAAUAUUAUUUUACUAUUUUUAAUAGAGCAAGUACAAUUUCAAUGAAAAUGACUAAGAGCUAAUUAAGCUUUCGCCUGAUCGAGGUGUUAGCCUCGGAUUAAAAAUGAAAGUCCACACGACUUUCUCACCAGGUGUACACUGUUCGUAUUAAGAAAAUAUUAAUUAAACUAAUUGCAAUGAGGAAUGAUUAGGCUUUGACUCAAGGGAUUAGUAGCCAAUGGUUAUACUUUGCUUCUCCUUCCCCAUCAAAAGAUGUAAGCCAUUAUUUUCACAAAUUAUUGCCUACACUUAGUACAUCCGUAUGUACAUUCGUGUCCGUUCAAUAGCUUUUGAUCGUGUAUUAUAUACAGUGCUUGAAUCUUAAAGCAGAUAAUUUAUUGCCAGUUGGACGGUCCUGUUAUGAAUAGCGUAUGAGGAGUUUUUAUGUAUAUAAUUAGAUUUAAAUAUUUCAAACCGGCGGUUUGGAUUCAGUAAGCUGUUAAUAUUAAUAGGUUAAUUCUUUACUUUUGAUAUCAGAACCACUCACAAAUCAGAGUUACUUAAGCUUAAAUAUUUUGGGCUACUGAUUUGAAUACAAUAGAUUGCUAAUUUUAGCGCGGUAAGCUGACUAUAGGAAAAAAGAUAUCUUAUUUUAAUCUCGUAUAUUGAUUAUACAGCAAAGAUUAUUUUAGUUUUUGUUUUGUACUUUAUUUCUGUUUUAAGUGGGCUUAAAAAUUUAUAAUGAUAGUUGAAUUUAAGAGAAAAGCAUUAUGAAAUGCGUUGACAUUUGAUUUUGUUAUACGUUUGUUUAGCACAAUAGUAUAAAUUGAAUGUAUUAUGUAAUAAUAAUAAAUUGUAAAUUUUGGAAGCUGCGUAAAAUGGGAUCUGUUUAUCUAGUUAUGUAUCUAUUAAUUAAUUUACAACCCGAAAAUAUGUUCAAAUAGAGAACUGAUGUAGCAUGCUAAUUAUUAAUUCCAGAAAAAAAAAAUUGCAUGUGAAUUCAAUAAUAAUUCUAAAUUUUUAGAUUUAUUUAGGAAAGUAAUUAAAACACAACCUAAAUUGUAGAUUAAUUUUUAUGUCUAACCUUUUUAAUUAGGUUUGUUAUAGAGGCAUAGCAUGUGUCUUUGAAAUUAUUAAUAAGAAAUAUGUAUAUUAAAUCAACUUAUCGUGGGAAUGUUAAUAUCAUCAUUCUCUAAUUGAGAGAACGAAUAUAAGUUACAUGCUGGAUCUUUUAACAUGACAAAUAAUUUAAUCAAUCGUUUUAUUAUUGAUCACAGCUUUAAAAGUUGUGCGUACAAUGUUUUCAUUGAGCUGGUGCAAGCAAUAAACUUUUUUCUUUCUUUCUUUCUUUCUUUCUUUUUUUCUUCCUCCAUGUGAAAGAAGAUUCCCAUUUGGGGACUACAUCUUUAGUCAACUUCAUUGAAUCAAAACACGUGAGAGGAAAAGUAAAACAGAGUAUGAGAGGUGAAAUAUUCAAAGUAAAUUAUUCAAUACUCUGCCCCACCUCAUUCCAUAUUAGGGAUAAUAUAUUUCCAAAUAGUUAUUUCUUUACCAAACCUCAUUCCAAAACCAUGGCCAUAGUAACAUACAUACCCUAAUUUUAUAUGAAGCAACUAACUGCAAUUGGAACAUUUAUAUAUUAUUUUAUCAAGGCCAACUUUAAAAAAAAAAAAAAAACCCCAAACACCCCUUGUACUUAACAAGAAAUUGUUGUCUACAUUUGGUGUAUCUAUACGUCUUGUGCAUUGCAAAUAAUAUUUGAUGAUCGGUAUCUUAAAAUUUAGAUUAGCAGGUGUAAUCCAUAAAAUGUAAAGAGUUUAUCUUGUGAUGGUAAGUUUUGAAAACCGGUUGUAUAGGCAUCAGGUAAUAGAACAGAAUAGGGGUGGCAAUCCAGCUCGCUGUUCGCGAGCCAGCUCGUGUUCGGCUCGAAAUGAGCUCGAGAUCGAAUCGCUCUUUUAGUAAACGAGCCGAACAUGAGCUGAAUUUUUCAGCUCGUUUAAUAAACGAGCCGAACACGAGCUGGGGUUAGCUCGCUCGUGUUCGGUUCGAUAACAGCUCGAAUACAUAUAUUUUAUACUUAUAUAAUUUAUUUAAUUUAUAUUUUUAUAUAUAAAUAAAUAAUUAUAUAUAAUAUAUUUUUAUUAUUUAAUUUUUAGCGAAAUAAAAAUAUAAAUGCGAGCUUAAUUAUAAAAAGACUCAUUUAUAUGUAAAAUUUUAAUUAUUAGAUCAAAAUCUAAUAGAUAAGAUUUUAUAAAUUUAUUUUUUAUAUAUAUUUAAUCUAAUCCUUUUUAAUUUAUUGUUCGUUGGCCAGCUCGUGAGCCAGCUCGUGUUCGGCUCGUUAAUAAACGAGUUGAAUACGAGCUGAAUUUUUCGGCUCGAUAUUUUAACGAGCCAACCCCAGCUCGCUCGUGUUCGGUUCAUUUACACCCCUAGAACAGAAUAGUGCUCAAGUCAUAAAAAGUUUUUUGCCUAUUUUAAUCCUUUAGAAAUGGAUUUAAAGUAAUUGAGUUUCAAACUUAAGACGUUAGGUACCCAUUAUUAAGUUUGUAGCCAAUUAUGUAAGAUGAGGUUGGUGCUCGAUUAAUAAAAAGAUGAUGUGUGAAAUUUAUGAUUCUUAACAUGUAAGGCUUAUGAAUGGCGUUGAAUACAUCCACUGAAUUAGAUUCUAAUUUUAGGUUCUCCAUAAUAGAAUUUUAGCAAUACAGUAUACGAGAGUUAGGUCCUAAUGUUGAAAUAACUUAUUCAAUGAUAACUUGCAUGAUAUGAGAAUCUUCUUUUCAAGUUUGAAAUUAGGAGUCUGAAUUUUGCUCAGUGAAAGAUUUGUUGUCCGUAAUUUAAUACAAUAGCAUAUUUUAUCUAUAAGAUAAUUUAUUUUAUUUCGAAGAAAAUAACUUACAAGCUGAAUAUCAUCUGUUAGAGAGUACAAAAUUUUUAAACAAGUUAAAAAGCUAUGCUGAACAAAAAACUUAUGUAUUCAAAUAGGGCCUAAGUGCACGUAUUAUUCUAAUAAGGAAAAACUUCAAAUAUCAUUCCUGUGGUUUCACAUUUUUUCACUUUAGUAUUUUGUGAUGUAAAGUGUAUUAAUUUAGUGCCAUGUAGUUUCAUUUUUAUCUUUUUAUUAUUAAUUUCACCAAUUUUUUUGUUAAAUCAGUGACAAAGUUAAAACUAAAUAGUACUAAAGUGAAUAUUCGAUAAACUUAGAUGGAGUAUUUGAAAUUUUUUGUAUGUAAUUUAACGAAAUCUUAACGGAAAAACUGACGAAAAGAUAAAAAUGAAAUCACAUGAUAUUAAUUUGAUACACUUUAAACCACAGGAUAAUAAAAUGAGAAAGUGGAAAACCACAGGUGUGGUAUCUGAAGUUCAUCCUUCUAAUAAUACUAAUACACUUGGUUCACGCAAUAAUUUGUUUCUUCUAACCACCGUAUGUGCUCUGCUAUGUCCUUGGUCAGAAUCCUCGUUCCACCACACGUAUAUAGACAUAUACAUGUAAACUCCUGAGUCAUGGGUUUAUUGUAACACACAACACACAUUCCUCUUCUCCAAUCCAACAUUCCAACUAUGGGGUUCAUCACCCCAAGAACAUCAUCUCCUUACACCAUAACUCUCCUCCUCAUCCCCCCAGCUUUGCUUGCCCUGACUUAUCUCAUCCCCCUCCCCGACUUCUUCGCCCCCUGCGCCGCUCCGCUGCUGUUGUCGUCGUCGUCGUCGACCCCGUCCCCUCCCCCCGACCCCGAAUUCCGCCUCCUCAUCGGCAUCCUCACCCUCCCCAACCGCUACGCCCGCCGCCACCUCCUCCGCCACGUCUACUCCCUCCAGCAACCGACGAGCCCCUCCUCCGUCGCCCGCGUCGACGUCCGCUUCGUCUUCUGCAACGUCACCGACGAGGUCGACGCCACGCUCGUCGCCCUCGAGGCCGCGCGCUACGGCGACGUCGUCGUCCUCGGCUGCGACGAGAGCAUGAACACCGGAAAGACGUACACGUUCUUCGCGAGCCUCCCCGACAUGCUCGACGGCGACGGCGGCGACGGCAGCACGACGAGUCGGCGGGCGCCGUAUGAUUACGUGAUGAAGACGGACGACGACACGUACUUCCGUCUGGACCGAUUGGUGACGUCACUGCGCGGCCAGCCGACGGAGGACUUCUACUACGGCGCCGGCCUCCCCUUCGCCGACCCCAAAUUCCCCCCCUUCAUGCUCGGCAUGGGGUGCGUAAUUUCCCAUCUUUUAAAUACUCCCAAAUUUAAAUUUAAACUUUAAAAUUUGAAUCCAAUUCACCAAUGUAUGGUCGUUGUUCCCUUUUUUUUUUUUUUUUUGUAAUCAUUUACUAAGGAGGAGGUGUUUGGUUUAUCAAAAAUACUUUGGACUUUUAACCAAAAAAAAAAAAAAAAUCGUCUAUUUCAUUCUCAGAAAAAACAGUUUUAUUCUGGAAAAAUAUUUUAUGUUUAUUUGAAUUUUCAAAAAAAUAGUUUUCUUCAAAAAAAAUUUAAGAGAUCUUAUAGAAAAGUCUCCUUUUCGUUAACGUAAAAUGAGCUAUCUAGUUAUUCUAACAUUUGACUUAAUUAACAAAUUCAACGAGUUUUUACAGUGAUUAAUUAGUACCCAAAGUAUUAUUAUUGACUUUUCCAUGAAAACUACCUAAAUUUUGCAUAAUGAUUUUGUAAUUUUACAUAUAUUAAUGUUUUAUAAAAAAAAUAAUCAAAUCAUAAAUACGUGACACCGUUGACGCGUACUUAUUUAUUAUCAAAAAAAAGUAAUAUGUUAAUGUUUUAAUAUUCAACAGGUAUAUAUUAUCGUGGGAUUUGGUGGAAUGGAUUGCCACGUCGGAUAUUCCACGUAAGAACGCGGUGGGGCCCGAGGACAUGUUAACGGGGAAAUGGUUAAAUACGGGGAAUAAGGCGAGGAAUAGGUAUAAUACGGUCCCGUAUAUGUACGAUUACAAGGGCCCUACUUCGGGGGACUUUUUGGUGGACACCAUAGCGGUGCACCAGCUCAAGGAGAAUUCGAGGUGGGCCCACACGUUGAAGCACUUUAACGUUACCAAGGGAUUAGAAAAACCCUCUAAAUUUUACCAUUUUUCUUAAUUUUUUUUUUCCCUUUUUGUGGGGGUUUUAUUUUUUGUGUUUUGGGGGGGAAUUGGUUUAAUUGUAAUAGAUUUUUUUUUUUUACAUAUAAUUUACGUGAUUUAAUUUGUUAGAAGAGGAACAAAAGUUUACAAAUUUCAGUAUUUGUUUGUGAAUUAAAGUUUGGAUUUUUUUUUUUUUUUUUUUUACUGAUGUUUACUAAAAAUUUUUAUAUUAGUAUACAAGAAGGUGAAAGCAUUUAAAGCAACUAAUUUUUUUUAGUUUUUUUUAAUCUCUUUUUUUAUGUAAUUUGUUUCGUUGUCAAUUUGAGCAAAGUUAAUUAUGGCGUUUUGAAAAGGUUGAGUUAAGAUCGAAAUUAGUUUAUAACAAAUCAAAUAGCGAAAGUAUGUAUUUACUAAAACAAAUUGGGUCAUAGGUGCUAUUGAGUCUUUUAAUUUUAGUGUUUUUUUUUUCCCUAAUUUUUUAGACUAAUUGAGGUUUCUCUUGUUAAAUAUAUCCCCAACUAAUUAAAAAUUGAUAGGAAAUAUGCUUUGAAUGCUUAGUCAUUUAUUAAAGAGUACUGAGAAAAAAAUUCUAGGCACCAAAAUGAUAUUAAUGUAUAUUUAAUCUUUUUUUCAAUACUUUAAUUACAUUGUAAUAUUUCUUAAAUUAACACUACGAUUAUAGUAAGAAGCGCACGAACAAAAUAAAUUUUAAAUUUAAGUUGCAAUGGAUGCGUAAAACAGUUUUGCCUCGUUAAGAAGGAUUUUCGAAGGGAUAAAUUUUGAUCAUGAAUAUAUAGCAUUUUAAAGGGAUAAAUUUUAACCAUAACCAGAACCCGCGAUUUAUAGCUUAAAGAUGAGACCAAUUAUUAUGUAUAAAACAUGGACUCGAAAACUCUAUCAUCAGAAAUAAUAUGAGUAUGAUAUUCAUAGAAAUAUAAUAACUUGUGUGCAAACAUAUAUACACAAGCACGCAAAAUAGGCAUACAUAAACAUGCAAACAUGCAUAAACACGCAAAAAUUACGUACAUAUUUAAUAAAAGGGAUAAUAUUUUCUUCAAAAUUUUAAAAAUAUCUAGUUUACUCGUGGUCGACUAAAAUGCCUUUGUUUAUUUAAAAAAAAUCAAAUAUACCUCUGCCCUCUAGGGUUCACUAAUAAGAUUGGGGUUUUUAGAAGGAUAUUUUAGGAAAUAUGGAGUAAAUUUAAAAAUUUUGAAUAAUAGGAAGGGAUAUAAAAGCAAAAAAUCCCAAUUUAUAUUUAUGCAUGCAAUAUAUAUAAAGAGAUUUUCAUAAUAAAUUUUUUAGAAAUAAAUAAUGAUUCUGGAUUAGUUUAUGUGAUCGAAUCAUCGAGAGAGGUCCAUUAACUCUUAUAAUUAUUUUUUGCAAAAUAAGCAUGGUGUAUAUAUAUNCAACCAGACUCUAUAUAUAUAUAUAUAUAGAGAGAGAGAGAAAGAGAGAGAGAGUUCUAUUACUAUAUAUAUUAUCGAUAGUGAUCAAACGUUUUGUGCUAUCGAAUUUUUUGUUAUUAAAUUUAUCUCUUUGACUAAUUUUAUCCAUUAUAUUAUACUAUUAAACUAACCAUUCACUCAAUUUUAGAUAAUCACUAUUAUUCUAAACGCGCAUCUUUUCAUCUAAGAAUCAAAAAUCGCUUAGUACUAUAAUAGUAUAGUAGUCUAAUUUUAUAUAUAUAUAUAAAAUUAAAAUUAAUGCUACAAAUGCUUCGUAGAACAUGCCAAGUUGCACCAUGCACGUUGAUGAAAUUAAAGAGGGGGAAUUAAUUAAUUACUAAAUAUUAUCCUAUAUAUUCUUUUUGGUAGGUAAAUAAUUUUGGUUUGUUAUAUUUCGAGAGCAUUAAAAAAGAGAACAAUUGAAAAAAAAAAAAUAAUACUGCAAAAUACAUUCUCAUAUACAUGACAUAUCUCUUACAACGUGCCAUGAAUUGCGUGCAUAAUUUGGGACCUUAUAAAAUUAAUUAAAUGAAUACAUUUUAAGUUUUAUAGAUAUAUUUAUUUUAAGCCUGAAAUAAAUCGAGUCACGCAUGUUAAAUUAGAUCUGAUUUUCUUAUGUGAUUUUGUUUUGGUUUUUGCAACUACACUAGUAAUUAACUAAUAAGUUGAGUUCGAAAUCGAAACUGAAACCAACGAAAAAUAAUAUAUAUGUGUACGUACAUGAAUUUAUAGAAUUAUAUACCAACACUUCAUCAAAAUAUACCCUAUUAUUUUGAAUUUUGUUGAUAAUUUUUUCACUAUUGUAGAGUCAUUAAGAUAAAAUUGUGUUUGGAUUUCCAUUUGAUUGGUUAAAUUAAUUAAUUUGGGAGUUAUUUUCCCAAAAAAACCAAAUAGAAUUCGUACAUUGACAUUCUUAGGUACGUAGAACCUCACAUCUCAGAUCCAUUAUUAUAUAAAUUUAAUGUCCAUGAAGAUGCAAAUUUUAUACCCUAUUAUAUUAAAUUCAAUCAUCGUGUGGAAAUAGAUAAGUUUUUUUAUUUUUUAAUUAAUUGAUCAUACUAGAGAUUAGUGGCGAUUACGUAUGGUAAAGCUCAACCAGAAAAGGACUUCAAAAAAUUAAUUUACGUGUUGAUUUACAAGAAAAUGAAAGAAACUGAUAAAACAAAUUGGUCAAGGAGUGAGCGAAAACAGGUUUUAGAUAUGAGUGAUCAUAAUGCAAGGUUUAAUUUACAAUGAGUUUAAAUGAGUGCUCAAUUAUUUAAUUUCAUACAUAGUGAAAUAAUCAGAGUCGUAUUUCAAGUAGGGAUAUAUAAUUUAUUUUUUAUUUAUAAAUACUCACUUUAAUUCUUAUCCCAUCUUACCUAAUUAAACGCUAUUUUUCUUAUUCUCAGGAAUACUCAAUUUUCAUCCAAACGCAAAAUUCAUCAAAUCCCUGCUUAUACCUCAAUUUAUACCUAUUUUCGGAAUAUCCACUUUUUGCUUAUUUCCGAACCAAACGAUACCUUAGAGAUGAGCAGGAUUUUAUCCCUACAAGUAAGGGUGUAAUGUGAGCCGUAUUGGGUCGGGCACGGUCCACAUUCAUCCGGGCCAAACCGGGCCACAGGUCAGCCCGUCCCGGCCCGGAUAAAAUUCGGCCGGGCCGUUCCGGGCUGAAUUUUAUGGAUUCCCCGCCCGACAUGGCCCUCUGGCCCCGAUGGCACAGGUCGUGCCGGACCAGACCGGGUUCCGUACCAGCCAUUUAAUUUUUUAAUAUUUUAAAAAUAUUUAAAAUAUUAAAAAAUAAAAAAGUAAAAUGGUUCUUCUUCCGGUUAAUAUGUUAAAUCAAAAAAUAAAAUUUAGUAAUUUAUAAAGUAAUAAAAUUUUUAAAUAAUUUUAAAAAGUUAUGAAACUUUGAAAUUUUUUUAAAAAAUCUUUUUCUCCAAAGGUUUCUGAACAAUAAACCUUUGGAAUAAAUGUUCAUCCCCCAAGAAGGGCCUUGGGCCGUGCCGGGCCACGGGCCAAGCUAUCGGCCCGGCAUGGCCCAGGCCCAUAGCGGGCCUAGCGGGAGCGGCCCAGCACGGUCCGGCACGGGAUCUACAUGGCUAACUCAGAAAGUCAGAAACUUUUCAAGAAUAUAUAAGUAAUUGACCCAAUAUUUGAAAUAUAUUUAGUUUUUAGAAUAAUAUUUAAUUGCUAUAUAUUUAGUAAAUUGAUCAAUCAUACUUACUAAUUUGACAUAUGAACAAAAAAAAAUGGAGUGAUAAAUUGACAAUAAUAAAUCAAAAUUGGAAUUAGGGUUUGGCUACAUUUGUGUUAAAUCCCAAGUGGUCCGGCCUAAACCGGCCCAAACCGGCCCAAGAUAUGGGCCGGGCAGAACCCUUGCAAAAUAACCUGGGCUCGACCUAGGCCCAGCAUUCUCCUGAACCAUUGAUUCUAGAUCCAAGUCUCCCUUUUUUGAACUUUUGUUUUUUGUUUUUUUUUUUAAUUUAAGGACAAACUUCAAUUUAUCCUACUGCAGUUUAACAAUUUUUUUUAUUUUGUUAUUCCGCGGUUUUAAAAGUUACACUUAACCUAUGAUUCAAAAAAUUUCACUUUAAACAAUUUCACUUUCUACCCUAUCGGCGACAUGUUUUUUUUAGUGAAACAGAAUUAAAACCCCAUUCAUAUUUUAAGAAAAGUUUCAAAUUCAAAAAGGAUAUGCAAAUUACCUGCAGGUGUUUGGGAUAAGAUAGGACACAUGAAAUGCUUCUUCUCCAUCUAGUAAUUUGAUUAGAAAUUCGAAGAAAAAGUUCACGUCUUGGGUCUAAAAAAUUUGGUUGAUUUCGUUUGGCGUAUGUAAUGUUGAUAGUAUGGUUAGAAAAAUUGAGUAAGAUCAAGGCGAUCAAACAUAGGAUCUCCUGCUUUAAUACCAGAUCAAAUUAUACUGAAAUAAUUUUUUUUUUUUCCAAACACUAAAUCUAUCAAAAAAAAUAGUAAUGUAAUUUUUUAAUAUUCAUUAAUUUUAUUUCUCAACUCAUCAUGGUCCCUAGAAGUAGAAGAAAAAUUUACAUUAAUAACAAAAAGAGAUCAUGAAUUUGAAAUAUAGGUAGCAAUUAAAUCCAACAGCUCUAUGUAUUGUAAUUAAUACCUACUCAUAUCAUGAUCAUUAAAUAUUUUUCUACGAAAAGUACAUAAAUACUUUGUACUUCAUUAAUUAUUAUUCAAUUACAAUUUACGCCAACUAUGCAAUAUAUUCAACUCUCUUAAUUAAUUCAGAAANAAAAAAAAAAAAAAAAAAAACCCAUGACUUAUUUUAGUAGUUAAUAAUUAAUUAUAUUAUUUGUACUUUGUUAACUUUUCACUUUACUCAUCUUAAUUAGGGACCCCCCCACUGUGUGUUUUCAUAUGCCUAGCCCUACAUAGAUGAUACGGAAUUAAUUGUUUAAUUUGAUAUAUUUUUAUAAAUUCAAAGUACAUUAAUUCAUCUUAUUUUUUUAAAAAAAACUAAAAACAUUAUUGUGAUAAGUGUUAAUUUUGUAGCUAAUUAAAGAGGUUUACAUGUGGUCAAUAACAAUUAUUCGCGUGCUUCGAUCAAACUGAUAUAUAAACCUUUUUUUUAUUUUUUUAAUUUAUUUUUUUGGUCAAUGAGACUAUAAUUAAUUAAACAUUUUGAUCCACAUGCACCGAUCUCUACGUCUCACGUGAAAAAAGUGGACACGGCCAAAUCCUUUUGCUUGAUCAUGAAGUCAACUCGCACGUAUUAUUAUUUUACAUCAAUUUUCGUGCUCCAUGGUUUCAUGCAAUUCUCGUCAACUCUGCAUGCGCCUCGAGAUGAGACCUAGAUUCUCGUGUCAAUCUCGAGUUACGAAAUUAUUGCGUGCACCAGGUGUAUUCUUUAAUUAUAAACACCGCAUCUUAAAAUCUGAUUAUUAUUAUUUUAAAAUCAAUAUUCAAUUUGAUAAGAGAUCAGAGAAUCAUAUCACUAUAUUUACGAGGAUGGUGCAUGGUGCACUAGAUGAAGAAAUAAUUCUUUAAAUUUUUAUUUGUAUUUUUUUCCCCCUUUUGAAUAUGAACAAGCAAUAAGUACUCCUCUAUAAGACUCAACAUCAACUUCGCCUUUUAUGCCGCUUCCUCUCACAUGCUUUGUUGGUCUUGGUUUUCCCCUCACAUGCUUUGUUAUAUUAGUUCUACUAAAUUCAUUAUAUUAUUAUUAUGUAUUAAAAAAGAAAUACUAACAUUAAUAUUGUGGUCCUUCACCACCAUAAACCAUCUCCAAAAUACUUUGCGUAAAAAGCAAACUUCUUAAAUUGAGCAUUCAAAUUUUAAUUACUAUGAUAGCAGUCCCAAGGACCAUGUAACUUUGAUAGUUUUUUUUUUUUUUUUUUUUUUCGUUUUUGGUCGGGUUUUUUUUUUUUUUUUUUUUUUUUUUUUUUUUUUUUUUUUUUUUUUUUUUUUUUUGGGGCAACUCAAUAUGCGCAAAGAAAUUUUUUACACACUAUUUGUUUGAUCAUCAAUCAUUUGGGCCUUUUUAUUUUAGAAUAAUUAAAUAGAUUUAUGCUAUGUUGCAACCAUGUAAAAAAUUUCUGCACACUAAUUAAUUUCUAGAGAUUUGAAAAUUUGUCUAUUAUAUUGCAUCAAUCUUAUCAAUAUAUAGUAAAUAUGUUAGAACUAGUCAAGGCUAUAACAAAUAAACAAAUUAUUUUAAUUAUUAAAUAAAAAAUUAAUGGCGACAAUUUCUAACAAGUGAUCAUGUAAUUCUUCGCUCUCUCCACUUUGAAUCAGAGUAGAUCAUGAUAGACCAUAAUCACGUAGUCUUGCGUCAGAAACUGUUUCCAAUAAAUUUUUAUCCCUAAUUAUUUUAAAAAAUAAUACUAUAAAUAGAAGGAAAAUUGUAAUGUAUCUUAAGCUUACAUAAAAUUAAAAUGUUGUUUAUUAACUAAAACAAAACAAGAACCCGCACCACAUAAAAAUUACUAUGACAACUUCUUAAAUUAUUACGAAUGCUAUAAUUUUACAUGCACGUGGAGAGCGUAGCAAAAUUCAAAAGGGCAAAACUAGCUCUGGUCAAUGAAUGAUCUAUGAUGUGGAAGUACAAGUCCACACCAAAUCAAAAUAAUCUCCUCUCUCAAAAGCCCCUCCUCCAUAAGUAUCUCUCCCAUAGUUACAUAGGAGUGGUGCAACUCUACCUCCAUUGGACUCAACAAGGAGCAAAGUUGCACCAAAAGUCUCAGCCAUGGUGGUGCAUAAAACCCAAGUGCUCCCUCUCUCCUCCGACGUCCCCGUCAGCGCCGCCGUGACGAAGAAGCCGCUGUCCGUGUUCCCCAAACCCUCUUUCGCCGCCGGCGUCCUCCUCCUCCUCCCCUUCUUCCUCCUCGCCUUCAUCUACCUCUUCCUCUUCCCCCAGGAGUUCCAGCUCCAGUCCUUCAUUGCCUCCUGCAACCCCAUCGCCGCCUCCUCCUACGUCGGCUCCUCCGACGCCCUGACCACUCGCGUCACUCGCGAGCCCGACUUCCGCCUCCUUAUCGGUGUCCUCACCCGCGCCGACCUCUACGAGCGGCGCCACCUCCUCCGCCUCGUCUACGCCCUCCAGAUGGCCAACCUCACCGCGCACGUCGACGUCCGCUACGUCUUCUGCCGGCUCUACAAGGACGACCAGCGCAUCCUCGUCCCUCUCGAGAUCAUGCAGUACGUACUGUUAAAAUAGCCAGCCGAAGUCCUGUCGGGAUGCAUAAAUAUCUUGUUCGGUAUAUAUUUAGAGCGUGGUCAAAUACAUAGAAUGAAAUGAUAUGUAUAUUCAGCCUUUUAACUCAUUUUUUUAAAAAAUAAAUCACUUUAUAGAUGAAAUAUGCUAUAUAUAUCUUACUAAAAAGUCUUCGGAUAACUUAAUUUUGACAUCCAAAUAAUUCUAUAACUUUGUAUUCAAAAGGCACGACGACAUCAUUAUCCUCGACUGCGAGGAGAACCUCAACGACGGGAAGACCUACACCUACUUCUCGAGCAUCGCGAAGCUCUACGGCGGCGGCAGCGGGGCCGAGGGCGGCCGACGGCCGCCGUACGACUACGUCAUGAAGGCGGACGACGACCUAUUCGUGCGGCUCCUGACGCUGAUCGAGUCGCUGCGGCCGAUGCCGCGGGACGACAUGUACUACGGCGCCGUGAUCCCCUGCGAUAGCAUGGACCCGUUCCGAGACUACAUGUCGGGGAUGGGGUACAUCCUGUCGUGGGACCUGGUGGAGUGGAUCGGGUCAUCGGAGGCGGUGCGGAACAAGUCGGCGGGCGUCGAGGACAUGCUCACCGGAGAGUGGCUGCGCACGGCGGGGAAGGGGAAGAACCGGUUCAACGCGAAGCCGGCCAUGUACGACUUCCCUAUACCAGUGCCGAUCGACGCGUGCUCGCACGGCUUCGUCCCCGACACCGUCGCCGUCCACCGGCUCAAGGACAACCCCAAAUGGGCCACCACCUUGAAGUACUUCAACUUCACCCAGGGUUUGAAACCAUCCAAGUUUUAUCGUAUAGAUUAAUUGAACGUUUUUUUCUCUUAAUUUCUAAGGAGUUUGUAGUUUGUAACUUGUAUACGUACGUUACUUGGACAGAUAAUGUGGACACACAAUGCUAGCGCCACUUUGUUGAGUAGCUUCUAAAAUUUAAUUUUAAUUUAAGAAUUUUUUAUUUAAAUUUUAAUACUGUAUUAAUUAAACAGUGAAUUUAGAUAGAGUCCAGUGAAGGGGAAAAAAAAAACAAAAAAGAGUUCGCAUAUGGCGUAUAUAUCAAAUGUUUCAAACAAAAUAUGAAGGAGCUCCUCAAUGAAGUCACUCAUAAAAUGCAUAAAUUAUACUUCAAUUUAUUUAUUCAUAAACAUUGACCUUGCUUAACUCCUAUAUAAUAAAUAAUAUGAUAAGACGAGAGGUCGUUAAUAUAGAAAGAGGUUUUAAAAACUCAGAGGCCUCAAUAGAUCUGUUUAAAUGCAAUUAUAUUUCAUUUUGGAGCAGUCCCUUAUGUCAGAUAUUAAUCAUGAAUAUAAAAAAAUAUGUAUUAGUCUAGACCGGGGAUACCUAUACUCUUAUAAGUAUGACCCUUUUAUAAUCAUAAAUUUUCGGCUAUUGGAUAAAGAGAUAUGCGAUUAGGAUAAUAAUGGUCUCAGUUAAGAUGAUUAUGUUCUCCUAGGAGCUGUUUGGCUCGGGUAUAAAAGAGGAAAUAAAGAGAAUAUUCCCUCUUUAUACCCAAAUAAAAAAAGAGGGGGGUGGGAAUUAUUGUUCCCAUCUUACCGGGGUAAGGUGGGAACAAUAGUUCCCACCCGGUUGGAAACAAGCUUGUUCCCACCCACGAGAGAGAGAGAUAUUGAUUCUGAUUUUAAAUUUAAAUUUUUAAAAUUUAUAAUUUAAAAUUAUAAAUUUUAAAAUUUAAAUUUUAAAUUUGAUAUUUUUAAAUUUAAAUUUUAAAUUUGAUAUUUUUAAUUUUUAAAUUUAAAAUUUGCUAUUAUAUUUUUUUGAAAUUUAAAUUUGGUCUUAAAUUUAAAAUAUGAUAUUUAAAAUUAUAAUUUUAAAUUUUAAUUUUAAAUUUUAAAAUUUAAAAGUUAAAAUUUUUAAUUUUCAAUUUAAAAUUAUAAGUUUAAAAUUUAAAAAUUUAAAUUUAAUUAUAGGGAUAAUAUUAUUAUUAUCUAUUUAUAACUGAUAACUAUUCCUCUUAUUCUCAAUAACCAUCUAAACGCAAUUUUUUUAGUUCCAACUUAUACUCAUAUUUACAUCCAAACAAAAAAAUAUUCUUGUUCUUAUAAAAAUUCAUAUUUGUAUCUAUUCCUGGUAUAACUAGUUCCUACUAAUUCCGGAACCAAAUCUCUUUAUACUUAAGUUUUCGACCGUUAGAUCUAUGUUUUUGAACAAUUUCACCUGUUAGAUUAUACUAUUCAACCAACCAUUCAUUCAACCCUAGAUAAGAGUAUAGUAGCCGGACUCAUUAAUCUAAUUAACUAGUUAGGGAGGUAAUUAUUAUUAUCUUUAGACUAAAAAUUUUCAACAUAAAAUUAAUUGUACUUCUUGUAUCUUAUUUUCAGUGGUUUAAAAAGAUUUAAACUGAACCGACUGAAUAAUCUCGCUACAGUGAUGCUUUAAAUCCGGUUCGGCUCGGUUUAAUAAAAAAAAAAUAUACGAAAAAUCGCACCGAACCGGCCUAUGUUAACGGGCCGGGCUCAGCCCCGAACUCUAAACCUCCGAGCCCAACUCAGGCCCGGGCUUAAAUCCUUUUGCUCCCUCUCCCCGACCCCACCUUCUCCCUCUUCUCGCCGGCGCCGGCGACGCGGUGCCACCGCGACGGCGGCGGCGCCGCCGUGCUCCGCCGCCUCGGUAUCUUCCUCGGCCUCUCCUUUCAUUCGUCGGAGUUCCUCCCAUUAACAAUGUAUGGAUGGAAACGAAACCCUAACGAUCUCAAUCGCUUACACUGGUGCAUUUUGAUCCCUUUUUUGUGAACUGUUCCUUUGAUUUGAUAUCUCUGCUGAGUAGCAAUAGUUGAUGAAUUAUCGAGUGAAUUGUGCAGAUUAAUCGAUCCUCAUUUGAUAAUGAGUUCUUCAGAUUGGGAUAGUUUAGGAAAAUAUGUGCAAAAUGAUGUAUUUUACAUUGUUCUAGAUUAGGUUGAUACCUUAACAAUAUUAAACAUACCAAAUUUGUUCUUGAAUCUUAGGGUAUGCUCAUACCAAGUAGGGUUUAAUCCUGCGUCUAGCUUGAGAAUGAUUCAACUGUAGAUAAGUAAACUAGAAUACAGAUCAAGCUCAAAUUCUGUUUAAUUUUAGCCUGAGUAUAUGGUUCAUUGCUUAAUUCAAGCAAAUAUAACUCUUGUGAUGUCGUGUUUAGACUUGCACUGGCAUAUAUUUUUGCCCUUUGAUCUAUGUCAUGAAUAUGUUUUGGUGAUAUAGAUUUGAGUUUGAUCCAGUUAGAGUUUGUCUCAAGUUGCAGCUCGGAACAAAUCUCAAUCAUAAAUAGAAAGAUUGGGACUGGUUGUUUGUUUUUGAACCCGGGAUUUAGCCGGCACAAGUCAUUCAUGAUUCACUUGAACUGUUUGGCAUAUGCAGGAACUGGACAUAGAAAUUUAGAUGUUUCUUAAGUAGUCUUUCAUUACUAUUAUUUAUUUAUUUGUUAUUAUUUGAGACUUGAGUAAUUAUUUAGAUACUUGAAAUUUAGGAUCAUAUAAUGAACUUUAGGAUCACUGAUAACUACAUUACUGGGCUUGGCUUCAAAGAGAAAACUACGAUAACUUAUCGUCCACCGGUGUCUCUCGAACAAUCAACAAAGCCACUGACUCAGACUCCUCUCUUCCUGCUUGGAAAUUGGGGUCUUUCGGAGAUACAAUUAAGUCAUUAUCUUGCAACCCUCUAUUAGAAACCAAUAUAAUCAAAUUUUUUAUUUUUUAAGAUGUUUAUAGAUCACACAUACACACUCUUUUUCACAUGUGUAUAAUUCGAAUUCUAGAUCUACAUAUGAGAAAGCGGAUACAUAUCACCUACUCUAAAAUGUGGCUUUUUGUAUUAUAUUAGUCAUUAGAGGAGAGUCUCUACCUUGCUGGAACUAGUCCAACAACAUUAGUGUUACAAGAGUACUGUUUGAUUGGAUAUGCAUUUGUGGGCAUUCAAGUGUGUCACUGUGUAUGUCUUGCGUGCUUAUCACUCUGCUUGUACUCCCUACAACAUGCUCUCCAGUUCAGCUACAAGGACCAAAACAAAGGCGCCUCCAUUUUCAACCCACUUGCAUUGAGAUUGGUGCUGCACGGGGCAGGCUGUGUCUGUGUUUGUUUGAAGUUGGUACUAUCCGAUUAGAUUGAUUGAAGCUUUAUGGCGAACUCUAAUAAGGUGAAGUUGAUUAGUCAAUUUUCGCCUCCUGCGUAUAAUAGUAGCUAGUUCGACAACCUUUUAGGCUUCAAGUUCAUCUCGAAUGCUAUGUCUAAUUUGAAUCUAACAAUUCAAUUGCGCCUGAUUUACAAUUUAAGUAAUGAACUUGAUAUAAUGCUUCACGGAAUAGAAGGUCUCUUAGCUUUUCUUCUUAUAUAUGUUUACGAGUUAGUAUUUGAAACACUCGGUAGUUGUGAUUUAAAAUUCUCUAACAUGUACACCGCUAAUUCAUCAGUAACAUUUCGAGAAAGUUUAAGAAAAUGUAGUGGUAUUUGUGACGAUAUUUAUGUUCAAAUUUUGACUUAUAAGUUCUACUUUGAAUAUAUUUUUGUUAUAUUAGUACCAGCAUUGAAACCCUAUGCCUCAUCCCAUGUGCUAGGGAACACUACUAACCUAUCCAGGUGGGGCAUUGGGCACUAGGCAAUCCAGUACAGGGUGGAGAAAGAACCAAAAGAUAAGAUUAAGAAAGAGAGUGGGGGGAAGAGUGAGGGAAUAUAUGCCUUCGAUCUCAGUAGCACCAGGUCCACAUGUGAGAGUCCUUUUAUAUUUUAUUCAUUUAUUGAUCACUGUAGUUGUUUUAGAAACCUUAUGAACCUUUGGAUUCUACUGCCCCAUCAGACCUUUUCACCCUCUGCUCCCUCUGAUUCGAUUCUCUGUAUAGAGACCAAUUAAAUACGGGCUCUAUAGUACGUUACACUCUAGAGAAAAUGUUAUAUAUGUUCUUUGUUUAAUCCAUCCUAUGACCUCGUUGGAUUGAUCUCUUUUGAGUAGUUAAAUACAUGGUCCAAUAGGUGGCAAGAGAUUGUAUAAAAUUUUGUAAUAAGGGAAUAGGGGAUAGGGAUUUGCAUCACUAAUCGAGGGGGUUUAGACCAAUUAUGAGCCUCUUGUUUGCUGCUUCUUUGUUUCUGCAGGUUCUCCAAGGAUGUUGGGAAGUGGGUCAAAGCUGGUUCUUUGCUGAAAUUAAUGGUUGUGGAGGUUUCUCCAAUGCUUCAGUUUUUUUUUUUUUUUUUUUUUUACCCAGGAGAUCGAGAUCAUUUGGCAACAUAGUAUUACUAUUGCAGAUUUAAUCUAUUUUAGAGUAAACUUUUAUUAGAAUUUAAUUUAUAAAAUGUUAGAGGUGAGGAUUGAGUUCACCAUGAUGCGGAAGUGGAGGAGUUUAAAUUUCAUUCUAGGGUUAAUUUCUUCAAUGCACUCCUCAAAAGUGAUAAUUUCAUGAAUAUCCCUUCAAAGGGUAAAAUAUUAUUGGUGCUCUUUUAUAUAUAAAGGAAAAACUUCAAAAACGCCUCAUGUGGUUUUGUACUUUUUUAUUGUAAUACCCUGUGAUUUAAAGUGUAUUAAGUUAGUAACCUGUGGUUUCUCACUUUAUCACUUUAGUACCCUGUGGUUUAAAGUGUAUCAAAUUAGUACUUUAUGAUUUAUUUUUGUAUCAACUUAGUACCCUGUGGUUUUAUUUUUGUAUCAAGUUAGUAUCCCGUGGUUUAAAAACCACAGGGUACUAAAAUAAUAAAGUGCGAAACCACAUGAUACUAAAGUGAUAAAGUGCGAAACCAUAUGGUAUUAACUUGAUACACUUUAAACCACAGGGUACUAAAGUGAUAAAGUGCAAAACCACAUAGUACUAACUUGAUACAUUUUAAACCACAGGGUACUAAAGUGAGAAAAAGUGAAACCACAAUGGGGGUAUUUGAAGUUUUCCCAUAUAUAAAAGAGUUUAGGGUUUAGAGGAAGGGCCUAGGGUUUAGUGGAGUAUUUGUGAUAGAUUUAUAUAUUUAGAAGAGUAUUUAUAAUAGAUUUAUGUGUUUAGAGGAGUAUCAAUGAUUUAGAUUUUGAAACAGCAUUUAUAAUAUUUUUUGGAGUUUUAGAGAGCUAUGUUUGAAACUGUCUCUUCAUUCUAAUAAUAUAAUAUAUCAAGUCACUCAAAAGUACAAUCUUUUUUGUAACAAUUUUGCAUGUUGCUAUGAUAGAUUGCUUAUAAAUUGAUAAAUAUAUGUGGCAUCUUUGAAGCAUUUAUAUAAGUAAUCGAAAGCCUCUACAGGAUUUGUAGAGACAUAUUAAUAAUCUGUAAGGAUAAUAUUUUAGAGUACAUAAGCAAACUAAUAGUUUAUCUGCCUCUGAGGAGUAGAAGAGGGUCAAAUGCAUGGUCGAAUGUAGUUCUUUUUAACAGGAUAUGAAUAAAUUGUUUUGUGAUAUGUGCAAGUUAAUUAUACAACUUCAAAUUUUAUUCAUGUGAACUUUUGUAUAAAUGGGCAUACAGUAAGUAUUACUCAACCUAAACACAAGUGCCCUUUUCUCUCUCUCUCUCUCUCUCUCUCUCUCUCUCUCUCUCUCUCUCAAUGCCUGUGCCAAUAUAUUGUAUUAGAAUUUUUCUUGGGUUAACCACAUAUAUAUCCUUGUUUUAAUAGGUCUUAAAUUUCUCAACCACCCUUCUUUUAGUCCCAGAAGCCACUUCUCUUUCACCCUCUCUCUCUCUCUCUCUCUCUCUCUCUCUCUCUAGGUUCCUUGUAGACCAAGGCUUGCUUGUAUUGUUUGGCUAUGAUGAUCUCAGCACAUCAGAUUGAUUUGAAAGGCCCAAGUUGCUAACAGCUAAGAUCAUUAUUCAUAUGAACUUGGUGAAUUAUGAUGAACCUGAAAAGAGUAAAAUGGAUUGGAGAUUUCCACAACACAAAAGUGGGCUUCUCCAUAUUAUAGUCAUAUUACUAUAAACUGCUUAGUUUUAGAGUAUCUUUCGUCUUGUGGCAGAGAUCUUAGCCUUCUCAGCUGAAUCUAUGGGGUCCCAUUUGUGCAAUGUGGUUUUUUAGACCAAAUUCUCUGUGGUGCUCUGUUUCCAAACAUAAUGACAACAUAUGAGGAAUUUGCUUUUAAUGAAUACAAUUAAUAAUUAACAACUCUUCAUUAUUUUACAUUCAUAUCCUUAUUCCUGCAAAGUAAUCUACUAAAAUGAGGGGUAAAAUUAGAGAGUAAUAUGUCAGUAGAUAAUUGGAGUAAUAGAGUAUGUUAGAGAAGGAAAGGACUGGGGGAAGUUUUUGGAAAGUGCAUUAAUGUUGGGGAUUUACACAUAAUCUCUUGCAAAUCUUUGAGUAUUAAUUGUUUCCAAAACCCUCCGUAUAAGAUAAGACCCACUAUAAAAUGUUGGGAGGGAGAAAGAUUUAAACAUGAUCUCUAGUAGAUCUUUGUGUAUCAAUUGUUUCCAAGGCCAAAUUGCAUGUAUAAAAAUCUCUCCGAUAUCUAUCUACAUGUCAGGUAAAAAUCAUGCACCAGGUGUGUACCAUGUAGGCCAUGCACGACCCAACGUAUUUCAUAUGCGCCAAUCCACGUUGGAUGAUGUGUUUUAGUCAUUUUCUUGCUUUAGAAUUACUUUUAAUUAAUUUUAAGAUUGAGUUGAAAGUAUAAAAGCUUUUUUUAUUUUACUUUUGUUUCUAUUUCCAACAAUUGUUACCUUAUUAUAAUGUUUGGUAGUCAAUAAAAGUCACAUAAAUCUUACUAUACUUGAAAACAAAAAAUUAGAGCUUUCUUUUUUCUUUUUUUUUUUUUUUUUGCGCAUAAGAGUUGUCGCAAUGUUUCUUCUAAUAAUUUUGUUUUGUUAAGCGUGAUGCACCAAGUGCAUCAAAUGAUGCUUGGAAGGAGAGUAGGGAGGGUUAGGACAAAGAACGAUUUUUCUCCUCCCUUUUUUUUUNUUUUGACAAAGAAUCCACAAGGGCGUGUAGGAAACUGGGAGGCGCUUCAAGGCUCAAGCUACAGGGUACAGCACCUGCUCUGCAUGCUUCUAUAUAUAUAUAUAUAUAUAUAUAUAUAUAUAUAUAUAUAUAUAGAUAUUCCCCUGCCUCCUUUCAUUGUCUCUAACGUUUCUUCUUUGCAGUCCCCACAUGCAUACAUCCCCAUCGCCACCCUCUACAUCUUAAUUUCUUAAACCCCCCUCCAUUUUUCUACAAACCAAAGUUUUUUUUUUUUGAAAAAAGUAAGAAUCACAUCCUUAUUUACCUACAGGUAUGCCAUCUUACUAAAUCUUUUCUGUCUCUCUCUUCUUUUUUUUUGUUUUUCAAAAAGACAGAUUCGAGAGUAACCCUAAACAGAGAGAGGCCCGCUAUAAAUACCCUCCCCACCUUCUUGUAGGGAGCAUAACAUGCAAUAGAAAACAGAGUCUUUCUUUCUUUCUCUUUUUCCACUACUCUGUUUUUUCAGUUAAAAACAGAGUUUUCUUUUUCUCUCGGCUUCUUUUGCGAUACUUCCUCCUGUUUACAGCAGCAGGAUGAAGGAGUAUUGGUGGACUUCGUUGGCGUCCCUGCUGGGCGCCCUGGCCUUCGUGCAGAGCCUCCUCCACGCCGUCUUCCCCGCGGAGCUGCGCGUCGCCUUCGCCACGCUCCUCCGCCGCCUCUCCGGCGCCUUCUCCCCCUACUGCUACUUCGAAAUCCCCGAGAUCGACGGCGUCAACACCAACGAAUUAUACAAUGCCGUGCACCUCUACCUGAGCCGCGCCGCCGCCGCCUGUGCCGCGGGCUGAACUCGUCGGCGCUGACGUUCGGGCUGUCGAGCAGCGACCGCGUGGCGGACGCGUUCCGCGGCGCGGGGGCGGCGUGGGAGCACGUGGCGACCCCGCGCGCGGCGGCGGGGUUCUCGUGGCGCCCCUUCCCGGAGGAGCGGCGCGCCUUCACGCUCCGCAUCCGGCGCCGCGACGCGCCGCUGCUCGUCCCCUCCUACCUCGACCACAUCAUGGACAGCGCCGCCGACAUCCGGCGCCGGAGCCAGGAGCGCCUCCUCUACACCAACGCCCGCGGCGGCGCCGGCGCCGUCGUGGUCGGCGCCGUGGACGCGGCCCACCGCGGCGGGCACCCCUGGGAGCCGGUCCCCUUCAAGCACCCGAGCACCUUCGACACCCUCGCCCUCGACCCCCGCCGCAAGGCCGAGAUCAUGGCCGACCUCCGCGACUUCGCCGAGGGCCGCGACUUCUACAGCAAGACCGGGCGCGCCUGGAAGCGCGGGUACCUCCUCUACGGCCCCCCCGGCACCGGCAAGUCCAGCAUGAUCGCCGCCAUGGCCAAUUUCCUCCGCUACGACGUCUACGACCUCGAGCUCGCUGAGGUCCACACCAACUCCGAGCUCCGCAAGCUCCUCAUGAAGACCACCUCCAAGUCCAUCAUCGUCAUCGAGGACAUCGACUGCUCCGUCAACCUCGCCAACCGCGGGACGGCCAAGCGCCCGCCGGCCGCCGCCGACCCCGCGGCCGACAUGAUCGGCGGGGACGACGCGCGGACGGUGACGCUGUCGGGGCUGCUGAACUUCACCGACGGCCUCUGGUCGUGCUGCGGGAGCGAGCGGAUCUUCGUGUUCACCACCAACCACGUCGAGAAGCUCGACCCCGCGCUGCUGCGGUCGGGGAGGAUGGACGUGCACGUGUUCAUGAGCUACUGCACCUUCCCGGCCCUGCGAAUUCUCAUGAAGAAUUACUUGGGGAUCGACGACGCGGGCGCGGGCGAAGAGAAGGAUGGGCUGUGGAGGGAAUUGGAGGAGGCGGUCGGCGAGGCGGAGAUGACGCCGGCCGACGUGAGCGAGGUGCUGAUCAAGGGUCGACGAAUGUGGGGGUGCGGCGGAGUUGAGGAAGAAGAGGAUGAUGGAAGGGACCGAGGAGGAAGAGGAAGAGGAGGAGGAGGAGGAGCAGGAGAAGCGGGCAUUGGAGAGCCCGAAGGAAGGAGGAGGAGGAGGAGGAGGAGGAGGAGCCAUGGGUGAUGAAGCUAAUGAAAAGGAGGAGAAGGGUGGGGAGUAAACUGUUGAGAGGGUUGGGACUUGGGAGGGAACUUUAGGAGCUUUGAAUUUUUCUUUUUCUUUUUCUUUUUCUUUUUCUUUUUUUUCCUUUGCUUGAGUUUGUUGUCCUUCUCUCUUUCUCUGAAAGAAGAUUAAAAAAAAAAAAAAGGAAAAAAGAAAAAUAUGCGCAAGGGUCCUCUGGUGUUUCUUUCGCAUUUGUUGAGUGUCCCGAGUUAUACAUCUUGUUGUUGAUCUGGGUCAUACAUACGCUGCACUGUUGUUCCCUGGUUCUUUAGAGGAGGUUUUUAUUAGUGUCUGUUUGGUUCGGCAUUUCGCGCAUUGCAACUCUUGCCGCAAAUUGUAUCUGUUGCAGCUCACUCCGCUUCGCACCGCUGGGCUAAACAGAGUCUUAGUUUUAUUCGAUCUCGAUUACUUACAUAACAUAUCUACAUAAUUGGCAUAUAAUGAAUUGACAAAAUGGCUACUUUGCGCGCACUCUCUACUCACAAAAAUAUCCUUGGUGCAAUUUACACUCUUGAUUUGCAAACACUAUCAUCUUCAGAUGGUGUGAAAUUCGCAGAUAAGAGGUCUAAAUCAUACGAAAGUGUUUUAUUCAUUCUUAUGGUUAUGCAAUAUUAUGUGAUCUUAAUUAGCUUAUACAAAGAGAGAGAAUGUAAAGUUUGAUAGGAGACACUAAUAGAAAAGGUAAAAAUAGAAAAUAAGAUAGAAAUUUAUGUCAUAAAAUGAAGAAUUCGAAAAUUUAAAUCUAGAAACUCUUGGAGCAGAGAGAGUUUUGAACUGACUUUGGCCAUUCUACAUAGUCUAUGAAUAAGAUCAAUCUGAUAGUUCUUUGAUCUCCAAUCGGAUUAACGCGUUUGUAAUUUGGAUUAAAGCGUAUGAAAUCGCUAAUUAGUCUUAAAAAAUGGCCCCUGUGAGUACUUUUAGGUAUGUGAAAAAUUUGUUCCUUUCAAGCUUAACUAUGCGAGGAUAUAUAGCAUAGGGAAAAGGCCUAGAGAUCGAUCCAUCUUAUUUUUCCACAAAAGGUGACACGUUACCUGGGGGGAUUAUUGAUCAAUGUCUCACCCCAUAUUGCAAAAGAAUCACUAAUCUUUUUUAAGUCGAAAGUUGAUGUGUCCUAUGCAUUUAUUAACCUCACACUAAGAUUGGUCAAAGAUGUGAAUGUUGGUUAAGAUUCUUCUGUUUGAAGUUUAUUUAGCCCAGUAUUUUAUAGUUUGUUGCCAAGGAUGUUUUUUGCAGCUUUUUUGUGUUUUAUUAAUGGAGAGUGUCAAUGGUUGGUGUAUCUGGUUCUUUUCAUUUUUAGUACAUGCAUGAAGAUCCCUAAAAUAAAUAAAUAAAUAAAUAAAUAAUUCUCUUUCCAUUUUUUGGUGGAUUUGAAAUUUGGUUUGUGGUAACUGCACUAAUUUUUAUCCUCUACACCCUCUUUGGCUGGGGAACACAAGGGGGGAUAAGGAUAAGGGGUUAUCCCCCACUUGUUCCCCAACCACCCCUAAUUUUAUUUUUAAAAUUUAAAAUUUAAAAAAUUAAAUUAGAAUUUCAAAUUUUUAAAAUUUAUAAUUUGUAAUCACAAAAUUAAAGUUUAUAACUCCAAAUUCUAAAUUUUAAAUUUUACAUUUGAUAUUUUAAAUUUUUCAAAUUUAAAUUUGAUCUUAAAUUUAUAAUUUGAGAUUUAAAAUUUUAAAUUUUAAAAUUUUUAAUUUUCAAUUUUAAAUUUUAAAUUUAGUUUUUAGAUUGUGAAAUUUAAAAGUCAAAAUUUUAAAAUUUUAAAAUAUAAAUAUAAAAUUUAAAAAUUCAAAUUAAAAUAUAAUGAUAGCGGCAAUAUCAUUAUUUUCUAUGUAUAACUACCCACUAUUUUUCUUAUUUCAUCUUAUACUUCCAACUGCUAUUUUUUCUUAAUCCUAAGAACAACCUAAUUUUCGUUAAAAUAUAAAAUUGGUUUAGUUCUUGCUUAUAGCUGAACUUGUAUCAAUCCCUGUAAUAUACAGUUCUUACUUAUACCCGAACCAAACGAAGCCUUAAUAAUAUGCUUAACUCGUAGGGGCGAGUGGUCCAAUUUUUAAACCAUAAACAUCUUUUUCGCUUUUGCAUAUAAUAAAGGUUAAAACAAACAUAAUUUAUUUAAAUUAUGAACCAUCUUGAGUCGACCACCUAACCUUUCAAGAUUUUGAUUCCAUUAACUAACCUUUUAACAAAUUAAAUUUGAAUCAAUUUUUACUGCAUUUUGACUUCACAAUUGAAUGCGUCGUUUAUCUUUACAAUUUUAGCUAAUAUAUUUCAAACAAUUUUUAAACCAUAAAUUUAUUAAAUUAAAUAGAUUAAAAUAUUGAAUAAUAAAUUAAAAUUUCGAAACAUGGGAUAAUUAACUCAAAAUAAUCUAUAUAUUUUGUGACAUUGAGAGUUUGGUGAGCAUACUUAGUAUGAUAUUUACACAAAUGUGGAGCAAUGAUUGGUUUCGUAGACGACGGUUGUGGGUGGGAGUUAAAGGAGGAUUGCGGAAGGCUGCAGGUUCCCAGCCACCAGCAAAAGUGGGGCGGACAGCUUAGAUAUGGUUUUGAUGGUUUCAAAGGACUGAUUGAUGAUGGAAUAUAAUUUUUCUGAUCAGGCAGAGCCAGACUCUGCAGAAUCCCUGCUAAACCAAGACAAACUGGUCCUUGAUACUUUAUUCUCUCUCUCUCUUUCUCAUACACACACCAUGACAAGUGAUUCGAAAUAACAACACGUCGCGCAGAUCGCACUUAUUUGGACCGGAAGAUCGAUCUUUUUAGCUUCUGGCUCGGGUAUGAUAUUACAAAAAUAGUACGGUGCGCACUACAACAGAAUUAGGUUAUAGAGAUACAUGUUUGGGACACUUUUAAGUAAGUGUCCCAUUUAUGCUAAAACUUGAAAAAACAUCUAUUUAUGCCUAAAUAUAAAGUUCAAUCCAAUCAGAAAUAAAAGAUUACUCUACUCAACCCACCACACCCAGUCCAUUGUACCCGAUUACAAACAGAAAAGAAAAAAAAGAAAAAUCAAUUACCAUCUUUUCUUCUCUCUUCACUCAAUCCACUGAAAUUCUAGACGAAGAGCUUUUCCUGUCGUCCUCCUCCGCCACCGCAGCCAACGAGAUAAAGUUUCGGCGGUUGCUAAAUACUUAAAUAAGUGUUGGUAAAUUAGCAGCACUCUUUUAGAUUAUAGCGACACACUUUAACUGUUACUAUAUACCUAGCGACCCCACAUAUAGCAACACUUUUUAAAAGUGUCAGUAAUUUUAGCUAGCAGCACUUUUUUGACAUAUACCUAUAUUUAAAAGUGUCGCUAUAGACCGCUUUUGUUGUAGUGGCGUUGCAUCUGAAUGUGCAAUAAUGAGAGUAGUUCUAUUUGCUUUUGUUUGUGAUCGCACAGCGGUGAAAUAUCAUGAGUUUUACAGUUCUUCUGAUAAAAGCUAAAUUUAUCCAUUUCCAUCUUAAGUACUUUUGCUUAUCCAAUAUUAUUAGAUCAUUUUGAUACCAAACGGUCCCGAGUUUCAUUUUAGCCUUCGAAUUUUUAAUAAGCGUGUUAGUUGUACUCAGAAUAACUAUGCGGACAAAUAUGUUAGUUGUACUCGAAAUUUUGAAUCUUAAAGAAAAAAUUUGUUAGCUGUAUUCACUAUAAUGAGCCUUUUCAUGAGGAAAAAAAAAAAAAAAAAAAAACAGAGAGAAAAAAAAUAUGCAUGGAUAUGCAGAUGAAUAUUUCUGGGUACGGACGAAAGUGAAAUACUUUAAAAAAUUUAAGAUAUUUAGUUGUAAAAUUAUAAUGGACAAAAAGUUAGGAUCUAACAAGCAAAUUUUACCUUGCUGGAAAAAUAGCUAGUACGUUCAGCAGCCUCUUUUUUUUUUUUUUUUCUUUUUUUUUUGAGAGAUAGAUAGCACAUUACCCGCUUCGUUUAUUUCAUUUAGAAUUUAGAAAUAAACUUAGCUGGAUAUGUGAAUCAACUAGGAUUCAAACUUGAGACCUCGGAUACCAAUCGUUAAAUUUUUUGCCACUUGCUCCAGGGACAGUCAGUCAGCAGCCAAAUUAUUAGACUGACAAAACGGCUACUGCUUCUCUGAACAGCAAAUUAAUCACACACCACCGUCUCUCAAAGUGGACACCCAUCACAAUGAUUCAAGUGAAACCUAUCAUUUCCCUUUUCACAAAGCUUUUGAUUAAGAGGUUGAGCGGAUCUUGAGCUGUAAUCAAUUUGCCCCCCAGGCCCAUAUCCAGCCUGUUAGUGUAGGGGCCCAAUUUUCUCACCCAAAAAGCGCGGCUUUGACGAGAAGCGCCUCUCAACUAGAUCUCAUUGAGACAGUCCGGCGAGCCGUAUGAUACAGUGCAUAUUUUUUGCGUAAAUAAUAGAAUUAAAAUUCCACAUUUUAAUCGAUCGUUCCUAAAGCAAGUGGCAAAGGACUUGAUGGUUGGUACUCGAGACUCAAGUUCGAAUCCUAAUUGAUUCCCAUUUCUUACUAAGUUUAUUGCUAAAUGACAUAAAACGAUGCGGGUAGCGUGCUACCUAUCUCUCAAAAAAAAAAAAAAACUAGCGCAAGUUGCAAAGGGCUUAGUGAUUGGUAUCCAAGGUCCCCAAGUUCGAAUCUUAGUUAAUUCACAUUUUUAGCUAAGUUUAUUUUUAAAUGAAAUAAAUGAAGCAGGUAGUCUUUUACCUAUCUCUCUCAAAAAAAAAAAAAAAUUCCACAUUUAA
rnacentral:lncRNA from 1 species